ACGACCUAAAUUUAGGGGAUAUGUAGAUUAUUAUGCUUUUUUAUGCAAAUAUUGACAAAUUUAUUGCAAACAACACAAAAAGAUAUAUUAAAAGAAUUUCACAAUAAUUUGAAUGAAAUCAUACACAAUCAACCAUAUUAAUCUACAAAGAAACAAAUAAGAAAGCUCUAAAAGCAGCCUGAAUUGAUAUCAACAUUUCUAAUCUUGCUUCCUUGUCUUGAAUCUUUUUGAUUUGUCGCUUCCUUGAACUUAGUAAGAACAACACUUGAAAAAUGGCCACCAAAUAAAUAGAAGCAACCUCAUAUGAGUCAUGAAGAUCGUAGCUUAGAGGUGAUACACUCAGACUCUUAUUCAAAGAACUUGUAUAACAAAUUAUAUGCUUAACUCUGCUCCAAAUGGAACGGAAAUUUAUUCCACAAUGAAUACUAGAACCUGAAAUAAAAUAAAAGUUUUCAAUACUUCUCAGAGUUUAUAAAUGCAUAUAAAAUAGACAUUUAUCUANNNNNNNNNNNNNNNNNNNNNNNNNNNNNNNNNNNNNNNNNNNNNNNNNNNNNNNNNNNNNNNNNNNNNNNNNNNNNNNNNNNNNNNNNNNNNNNNNNNNNNNNNNNNNNNNNNNNNNNNNNNNNNNNNNNNNNNNNNNNNNNNNNNNNNNNNNNNNNNNNNNNNNNNNNNNNNNNNNNNNNNNNNNNNNNNNNNNNNNNNNNNNNNNNNNNNNNNNNNNNNNNNNNNNNNNNNNNNNNNNNNNNNNNNNNNNNNNNNNNNNNNNNNNNNNNNNNNNNNNNNNNNNNNNNNNNNNNNNNNNNNNNNNNNNNNNNNNNNNNNNNNNNNNNNNNUGGUGAUGGUGAUGGUGGCGGGGGAGAUUUAUAGUAAUAUGGAGGAGGUGAUGGUGAUGGUGGAGGAGGGCUCUUGUAGUAAUAAGAAGGUGGGGGAGGAGAUUUGUAAUAGUAUGUUGGUGGUGGUGGAGGUGGUGACUUAUAGUAGUAAGGAGGGUGUGGGUGCGGUGAGGGUGAAGGGGGUGGGGGAGAGUUGUAAUAAUAUGGUUUGUGAUAAGGAGUAGGGGAAGGCUUGGGCUUGGGCUUUUCGCAAUCAUAUGACUUUUCAGGAGCAUAAGCAAAUGGCUUAGCCUUGAGCACAACUUCAUACUUAUCCUUGGACUUCACCUUCAAUUUGGUUCCCUCAUUAAGCUUGGUGGGUAUGUUACAGCGUGAAUCCUUAGGAGGAGCAUGGAGUUUAGCCUUGCAGACUGUGGCUCCAUAUUUCACAUAGUCAAAGCCUUCAACAGUGAUGCUGUACUUUCCAUUGCUCUUAGUUUUACCAUAAGCUUUUAUGGUCUUGCUCCCAACUUCACAAGUCACUUCGACCGUGGCACCUAAUUAACGAUGCCAUUAAAUGUGUGGAUCGCACAUGUUAUUGACAAAUCAAUCUAACAUAUAAAACCAUGACAUUAUUGUUUUCUUUAAUUUUAACGGAAGGAAAUGUUUUGUGAACACAAAAUGGGAUAAUAAAGUUAUUUCUUAUAACAUUAUGAUGUGUUUUUAAAACACGUGUACGAAAAAAAAGAAGCAUGUGUUACAUUAAUAAAUCUUUAUUUUUAAAGGUUUAAAUAAUAUAAAUAAAAUUAAAAUAGUUAACCUAUCCUAGCUUUUUCAUAUUUUGAUUGUUGGCUUCAUUGAUUACAUAAGAAAUAGUCGAUUCUAAACAAUAUUUUCUAUUUUCCAACAAAAAUUGUAUUUUUUUUUAUUGAAAUUCCAACUAAAGUCCUCUUCAAAAAAAAAUUGACAACUUUCUGUUUGAAAAGGGUAAUAUAGGUACUUUAAAAAGUAGUAUAUGUUUAGGUUGGUCAUUUGUUUAAUUAGUUAGCAUAGAUCAAGAUUCUCAAAAAUAUUUUUUUGUUAAAAUAUUUUCUCAAAUUGAAACAUGUUUUAUUUCUUAAUUGAAAUGAUAAUUACAAAAAAAAACUAGUUGACUAAAUAAAAAAAGGAGAAAUUAUAACUGUAAAAUUAUUUUAUAUUAGUUUUUUUUACAAAUUUUAUAGAGAAAAGAAAAAAAUGAGAAAAUAUCAAAUAAUUAAAUGAUUUAAUAGAAAAAAUAAAAAAAUAUGACUAAAAUACUAUAAGAAUAUUAUAUUGUAUUAAAAACAACUGUUUAUGUAUAAAUGCAGUUGAACUUCUCUAGACACAACAACACACACAUAACAAUAUCGAUGUAAUUAUACAAAUAAAAAUAUGAGCUUGAAAAAGAAAAAUUAAUUAAAGAAACAUAUAUGGCAGCCAAUGUCCCAAAUUAAAAUUUUGAGAAAAACAAAAGUACAGAUUAAUAUUACCAAAAAGUAACAUUUUUGAAGUAUUCAUAAUAUUAUUAUUGUGAAUGUAUUAGAAUGAAAUAGUAAAAAAAUAAAAGUAAUGUAGGUACCUUUGAGGUGUUUCUUGUUGUGCGACUUUUGGGGGUAUUUCCAGUCAUAACAUCUAUAACAAUAGACUUUACCCACAAUCUUAACAAUCAAUGGGUGAUGAUAUGGGUGAGGGUGAGGAUAUGGAGUGUAUGGAGGAGGCUUAGGAGAUGGUGGAGGCAGAGAUUUAUAGUAGUAAGGCACAUGAGGAGGAUACGGUGAAGGAGGAGGUGGAGACUUAUAAUAGUAAGGUGGAGGAGGUGAAGGAGAUGGUGGAGGAGGAGAUUUGUAGUAGUAAGGUGGUGGAGGAGAUGGUGAAGGAGGAGGCGGAGACUUGUAGUAAUAUGGAGGAGGGGGUGAGGGAGAUGGAGGAGGAGGAGAUUUGUAGUAGUAUGGUGUUGGAGCUGGGUGACUUCUCAGGUGGGGGAGGAGACUUGUAGUAGUAUGGUGGUGGUGGUGAUGGUGAAGGUGGUGGUGGGGACUUGUAGUAGUAAGGAGGUGGAGGUGAUGGAGAGGUGGUGGCGGGAAUUUAUAGUAGUAAGGAGGGGNNNNNNNNNNNNNNNNNNNNNNNNNNNNNNNNNNNNNNNNNNNNNNNNNNNNNNNNNNNNNNNNNNNNNNNNNNNNNNNNNNNNNNNNNNNNNNNNNNNNGCAUGAUAUGCAUAUUUAUAGUGGAAUAGUUCAUAUAGAGUGGAGCUGCAAUGAUCGAGGGACAAUUCAUAUGUCCAGUUGAUACCAUUUAAUUUUAAUAAUGCGUUAAAUGAAGCUUCCCUAGCUGGCCUUGUGACUUUUUAAGUACAAUAUGUUAUUUCCAUUUGGUUAUUUUUCUCCAUAUGGCUCCAUUCCAACUAACUCGAUUCUUUUUUAUUGAAAUUUCCAACAACUCAUUUAAAUAUAAAUCGGCUCCUGAUCUAGUCUAUACAAUAAUGAAUCAAAAGGUUCCCAAAUAAUUCUGUUCUCUUAUCAUUUCUCUCAGCUGCUCAGUUGCCUCUAUUGACUGAAAGAAAAUUCAAAAUGCUUUUUUCAUCGAUCCUUUUUCCUUUUCUAAUUGUUUUCUAUUGUUUUUGUUCAGAGGUAAUAAGGUAAAGUGAAUAGUGUAUUUCGCAUAAUGGAGAAAUCCAUGAGGGUCAUGAUAAUUUGAUUUGCUCAAGAAAUGGCAAGCAGCGGCCAUUGCAACCUUUGGAUAUAUAAUAAUUAUAUGUGUGCAACCAUGCAAGUAAAAAGUAUAAGACUAUAUAUACGUUAUAAAAUAUCGUUCAUUAAUUUACAUAUUCUCAGUUACGCGCGUACGUACCCAAAAUUAACAUGCUAUAUAUGUGUGUAAUAUUUUAAUAUAUAAUUUAAGCUGCUUAUGGAUAUAUGUUUUCUGUUUUCUUAAGAAAUAAUUACUUUCGUUUCUUUUAAAAAGAAUCUAUUAUUUUUAAUUAAUUUUCUCACAAGUAUUUUCUUUUCUUAUCUUUAGUAAUUAAUAAUUUUGUUCUCAGGUGUGCUAGCGCUAUUUGUCAAUGAUGGUAUAUGAGUUCUUGUAAGCAGCAGCAUCAAAUGCACAUUGCAGCUUUUGCCGGUAAAAUCGACUUCAACAAACUAUGUAUUUCCAGAUGAGAACUUCAUUUCGUGCGGAAAUCAUGAUUGUUUUCUUUUAUUCUUCCUCAUUAAAAUUUAGUUACGCCCUUAUCUUCGUGAAAAUCAGACCUUUUUUAAUCAAUUUCCGGACCAGUACAAUAUUAUAUCAAUAUCAGAUCGAUCGAGAGUAUUCGAUAAAUCAUUUUCUUAAUGUUUUCUUUGUUUGGUCACAUGUAACAUUUCUGAACACGUCCAAGAAACUGAAAUAGUUUUAUUUGCGCAUUGUAUAUAUAGCACUUAAUAAUUGAGUGUCGGCUUUGUAAAAAAACGGACGGAACUAUUUCAAAAUGAACCGUAUAUACACACGGAAUGGAAUGAAAUUAGAAUUUAAGUAUACUCAUCUAAUAAAAUUGUACAGCAAUUUAUAUAAUAUUUCUGUUUCUCUCUCUCCAUUAUAUCAUUAAUCUUAUUUCACAUUUUGUAACAAGAAAAUCUUACUUUUUCACAUGUGUAUGAAAUAAUAAUUGUUUUAUUCAUUUAACCUAAAGUUUUACUUUAAGUGACUUACAAUUCAAAUUAAUUUGCAUAUGUCCCCAUGUGCGUCUAGCUACUAUUAAUUACCAUGCAUAUUCUAAUUAAGAACCAUGUUAGCCAGUGCUUUCCUUUUAUCCUCUUUCUUUUAUUCUUAUUAAUGGCAGUCAAUGCCGUGUAAUACUACGUCUCUCAAUUUAAGUCUAGAUAAUGUUUCAUCGAAUUUGUGAUGAUUGUUGUUGAUGGAAAAAUAAGCCAUUUGAUCAUUAUUUUUGAUUUGGACAAUGUUCUUAAUUUAGUUCCAUAAUUAAAUUCGAUAGUCAGAAUAGAUCGGUGCAGGUAUUAAUUAAGAUAGAAAGAGAGAAGGAUGUGAUAGUGCCACAGACGUGUAUGGGGUACCGGUGUAGCUGUGGCCUUUUUUGUUAUGCUUAUAAUGCAAUAUAGGAUCUACAUAUUAUAGGAUAAAAUUAGAGAAAGUCAAAGAACGAGUUUGCCUUACAGAGGAGCUAAUUAUGUUAAAGUCAUUCAGAGGACCACUCCAUUUACCAAUAUUGUUCCAAAAUUCUCAGCUUUAGGUGUACUACUAGUAAAAGGUUAUUACAAUUAUGAAGACUUUGAAUGCUUUGCGAAAAAGAAAAUGAAGACUUUAAAUAACCCACUGAUCUGUAAUGACUACAGUUUGAUGAGAAACGGGCGUGAAUUAAUAGGAGAUAAGCAUAUCGCUCUAGCGUAUAUGAUCCAGAAUUUGCCAGGCAAAAAAAUUCGAAAUUUAUCAUAGAAUUUACAUUUGAGAAAAUAAGAGCAUUUUUUUUUUUUUUACUGCAAGAGCAUAUUUUGUUUUACACAUACUAGGCAUUUUUAUUUUUUGACCAUAGUAUAUGUAUUUUUAUAUGUAAAACAAUUGUCUGCCAAGUUAAAAUAUUUCGUAAAUACUCCCAAAAUCCUAGCUAAUUAAUAUGGUAAUUAGAUAGGUAUACAUUAACUUCAUUAAGUAAACUUUAAUAACUAUUCCAACUUUAUCAUAAUUAUUGCAAAGUACGUCAAUCAUUAUGUUUCAAUAUAUAUUAAGAUAUUAUUUUCUAUUUUGCCAUAAUAUUCUGAAGUGAAGUGCAUAAAGGAGACACUAUGAUAAACUAAAAAACUGGGCUUUGACAACUAAUAUAUAAGAAUUUGUAUGCUAGUAUUAAGUAAAUUGCGUUUUCAGAGAAAAUUAAGUUUAGGUUUUGAAAAUGUCACUUAUAUUAAUUAGAUCUAGUCUUUGUAGACUGUAAUUGAAAAAUUAAUUUCAUAUUUUUAAAAAGGUAAACAUACUAAAAAAAUUAGGCAAAAGCUAAAAGUUGAACAUCGUGGAUCGAGUUGUGAAUCACAAACUAGGUUUGGUUGGGUCAUAAACAAGGACAAUUAUUGAAUUGACUGGAUUUCUAGAGUGAAAUAAAAUGCGUAUUAAGAGAUAUAAGAUUAAUUUGAUAAUAAAAGAAGAAAAAUGAAGAUGAGAUCGUGAGUUUAAAUUAUUUUAUUAAUAAAAACUAAUAAGCUAAUUAAUAACAACAUUUUUCAUUAAAAAAAUGGUAUAUUCUAGAAAACACUCAAUAAUUUAUAAUUUUAUAAGUUUUUAUUUUAAAUCGUGAAAAUUUAAUCUUUAGAUAUUUCUAGUUAAUAUAGUUACAUUACAUCACUUUAUUUGUUAAAUGUACGGUUUCAUUUAUGUUUUUAUUUAUGUUCUUGUACAAAUUUUCUCUAACGUUUGAGACGACGUCCUAGGUAGAGCAUUCAAAUGUGUAUUAUGUCCAUCUCUUUAAUCUCUGCUAUCGUGAAGUGAUGCGCCUCCCCUUAGCACUUUGGAGGUGUUGUUGUAUGUGAUCGGAUUUCACCGUGAUUCACUCUUAAUGGAGCCAUCAUAAUUGUACAGAAACGAGGAUCCAACCUGAAACUUACAUUGUCCUCCAAUCUCGAGCACAUGAAAACGAAGAUGCUAAGAUUAACUGGACCAGUUCGGAUACUGACCAAGAGUUAAUGUUAAUUUUAUUGAUAAUUUGAGAUUUAACUUGAAUUAUAUAAUAUCAAGAGAUGCAAUUAAUAGCAUAAUAUAUAUUCAUAUAUAUUGCCUUAUGCCAGCUACUAGUUGAUAAUUGAUAGUCACCUGAGUUGUCUUAUAUUGAUUUUUUUUUCUUAAAUUUUGUAUUCUUAUAUUAGCUAGUUUCAAAAGAUAGUAUAUGAAAAAAAAGGAAUAUGCACUGAAAAGGAAAAAUAAAAUAAAAUCAUAUGACGAAAAUUAAUUUUAAUUUUUCUGGUCAUGAUCUGAUGUGUCGAAAAAAGGAAUAAAUCAUCAAUUAGAUUAAUAUUUGAAUAUUCUUUCUCUGCCUCCAUGUUGAAUUCCCACGUAGUGAUGUUCAUAUUUUCAACACCACAAAUUAUGCCAAACUCCCAUGUGCCCACGCUCAUCUUAUGAAUAUAAUUACUUAUGAUUGAGGAUCCUCUCCAUUAAACUACAGUCUACAGCUCCAUCUCGUUCUCACGUUCGCAUUUGAAAUGCAAAUGCAUACUUAAUAUUUUAUCAAAAACUGAAGAAAUACUUUAUCUAAACGAUCGCUACUCACUAGAAGUUUCCGUGCUGAUAAUGUUUUUCAUUUUUUAUUUCUUUUCAAAACUCAUCAUAGGAAGCAAAAAGUCUAACCAUAGAACAAUAAAAUGAAUAUUAUCAAAUAAAUCACUCACAAUAAUUAAAAUAGGUUAAUAGGGAAAACCAAAAGUGGGUGCUCCAAAAUUCAAGUAUUCACUUAUUUGCAUUAUGCAAGCAAUGUUUUGUUCAACUUGUAGAGACAGUUUAACGUUACGCGUUCUCUACCCAAAGAGAAAAUCACGCGAAUCACGUUAAUUGUUUAGGUCUUCAGCUUUAUCUACAUCAUGCAGUUGAAAAAUGAAAGUCUAAUCUUUUGUGAAUCAAAAUUUCUAGUAUUAUAUAUACCAUGAUUUUAAGAACUUGACUGGCAUCGUCAAUCUCUUCAAAAGGCAGCAUGUUGAUUUUCCCUUUCUAUUAUGAUCAGUUGUCAAUUUGUUAAUUCCUAGACUCUUUGAGCCACAUGAUAGUUCGCAUUAUCAAUUUACCUACGCUUUAUGAUAUUAAUUCAAUAUUUUGACCAAAUUAUAUAUACUAAAACCCAUUUUUAAAAUUGUAAAAAAAAUGGUGAAUUUUGAAAUUCUAAAAUUGAUUUCUCGGGUUUGAUAAUUUAAAUUUUCAUUAGGUCAUAAAUUCAAUUAGAAUUUGCUAGACCAUAUUCAAUGGAGACAAGGGAAUUAUGAUUCAUUACCAAUUUUUAAUACGAUUCGGUUUCUUACAAAUUAAGAAAAAUUAGAUAAAUAACAGAUAAAUAAUAUCCCCAAUAUGUAGGUAAAGGACAAAUAUCCACUUACUAUCUGGAUAGGAUAUGAUUUGCCAAUUGUGUACCGUAAGGGAGUAAACAUAUGCGUGCACCGUGUGCUGUGCAUAUUUCUUGUUUGAAUAACAAAUAUCUGCCCAAUGGUAUACUUUCAAGAAAAGUUAUCUAAUACUCUAGGGUUCUCUUUGUCUUUUUGUUAUGUUAUUCCUCAGUUUAGCAUUAAACAAACAUUAAGUUAAUGAUCAAUAACUUCAGCAAAAUAUCCCCUCGAACCUGCAGCCAGCAUGUGUGUUGUGGCUUGCAUAGACAAUUAGAAUUAAUAAGCUGCCUAUAAGGGAUAUUAAUUUAUAACCAAAAAAAUAUUAAAGACGGGUUAGGAAAUCAUAUAAAAAGAAAACAUACUAUUGGAGUUCAAAGUAAAAAAGUUGAGCAUUAUAUAAAUAAAAAAAAUCUAUAAAUUUCAACUUUAAAAUUUUGGGAUAAAAUAUGAUGUAAUUUCUCUUGUAUAUAAAUGUGAAGAUUUGGCCUACCACUCAUAUUAGAAUAUACAAGUAAUUUUCAACUUGAAAGCUAAAAACCAAUUCCAUAUGGAUCCUAUUUGUCUUAAUGUUAACAAAUUUUUCAACAAAAACACAUUCUUAAUACAACACUUUUAAAUUAAUUCAAUAAUUGAAAAUCAAUGAUAUCAAAAUUAAUUUUGCUUAAUUUUAAAAUAAAUAACUAAUAAAAUAUUUUACCGGUCAAUACAACUUCUUUUUUUUUUGACAAAAACUGGCCGAAUCACAUCAAUUUAUUGAUGAUAGUAUAGAAAAUACAUGUUGAAAUAUGGUAAUAAAGUUUGAGUCUAGGAUGAGAUGUGGCUCCUCUAACAAAAGAAUGAACAACAUCAUUUGCUUAUCACUAUAAAUUGUAUCUUAUAGUUUAUAAUUUGCACAAAUAAUUAUUUGCAUUUCAAUAAAAUAAAACCUACUUCUGAAUUUUCAAGCAUUAAAAAAUUUCUUUUAUCUGCUACAACUUUUAAAUCCAAAAUAUACAAACACUUUAAAAUCUUCUAAAAUAUCUAAAUUAACUUUUGUAUAUAAAAUAAACUAUUCUUUUUAAAAAUUAUAAAAAAAAAACAUUUUCUCCAUUUAAACCAAUUCAAACAGGCAAGUAUAUAUUCCAUUUAUAUUAAUUAAUUACAAAAAGAUAAUUGUUUAUUUCACGUGGUACAGUAGGUUGUAAUGACUAUAAACAUUAUAUAGUAUGAUCAUUCAGUUGAUCAUCUAAAAAAUUUCCAAUAAAACGCAAACACUUUAGCACGUGAUUAGCGAUCAAGGGGGGACAAAUUCGGAUCAGCAGCCACACAUCAUGCAAAAAGUUCGACAAGUUUUAGUAUUUUAAGUCAUUCAUACAAGUUUAUAGAUGUACAAUUACAUGGCAUAUUACACUUUGGAGAGGAGAAUAUAACCACACAGCUACUAACGGCUAGUUGAAAGCUAAUUAAAUUUUGUGUUUCUUUCUUCAUAUAUACACAUUUUGUGUAUGGUAUCGUGUGCUUACUCUUCCCUGAUCUCCAGCUACACCGACACGAUCGACUGUCAAAAAUCAUCAAAUGAUGCAUAUCAGUGUAUAUUUAUAUUUUUAUGUAUGUAUAAAAAGAUUCUAUAAAAUUAAUUUAAAUGAAGUAUAAGAAUUCGUUUUGAUGACAAAACUGUUCAACAACUUAUAUUUAAAAGUGAUUCUUUGCAUUUUAGUCCAAAUUUAUAUAGCUUUUCUUUUUCUUUUAAUUUCCUUAAAUUUUUAUUUUUUUAAAUAUUAAUUUGUUGAUUCAUUAUUUCAAAAUUAAAUUCUAAGAUAGCAUUAGUUAUUAAAUUUUCAAUUAUUCCCUUGUUGAAAAAUAGAAAGAAAUAAUGAUGCAUAAGACAUCAAAGUAAUAAAUAAAAAAGAUAAAAGAUUAUAAUGCUAGAGAAGAAGAACAAGCAAUUUUUAGUUAAUUUCAAUUCCAAUAGUUACUUUUUUUAUACCUAACAUAAAUAUGAAAGAGUUUAUAAUAACUCACCCUACUUAAUCAAUUAAAUUAAACUCUUUCAAUAUUCCAUUAGUUUAUUCUAACUCUUAUGAUGUCUACUAGCUGAAAUAGACUGCAAUUGGCAUUGUUCAAUUAUAUCUAUGAUUGAAUGAGAAUUUAUUUUUCUAAAGUGAGUAGGAAUAAAAUAAGUAAUCUUAAUUGUUAAUUAAAAAAAUAAAUGAUUAAUAUUUUAACACUCUCUAGCUAGAGUGAAUUGCUUACUUCAUAAGAGUUCGAUUCCAUUGAAUGUAUUCUCAAAUCAUUUUGCAACUUCACACAAUUAUCUCUUUCUUUUGUCUACUAUAUGUUCCCAUUCUAUCUUGGCCCUUGUUUAUGAAGCAAAGAAUCUUUUUAAGUUGCCCAAACUUGACGAGACUCGAGAGUACUAACAACCAACCAUUCCUAUUGUAAAGGAAGGUCUCUAUCAUUAAUUCUAACAGCCAAGACACGAACUGCUCCUAAUUGAAAAACUCUUUUAAAAUCUUAUCUGGUGUGCGAUCCUCCUCUGAUGCAAACUUCUCUUCACUUUGUUUGAGAUGCUUCAAAAUUUGUAUCCCAUGAUAACUGCAAGAAUUUUGUGUUUCUCUUAUAAUUUCUAUAGAAUGACAAUAGGUUCUGAACUGCUGAAAGCCUCAUUCAUGUACUUGGAGUAAAAAAUAAUUAUUAUGGUUUUUUACCACUAAAAAUUUGUUUAUUUUACAUUAAGAAUUAAUUCUUAAUAUGGUAGAAAUGUGUCUUAAUAAUUAUGUGCAUGUUUAGAUACAUGUUAGAAACUCUUUUAACGGAAAAAAACACUUAAUCCUAGACAUAAACAUGGAAGUAAUUCUCUUAUUAGUUACUUUUAACUUGAAGCAUCUCCAAUAGGAUGUUUACAUGAGUUAUUUAACUUUAAGCAAUGUUGCUUAAGUUCUUUUUUUCCAUUGAAGUGUAUGGUGCCGAGUUGUUUAUAUAAGCAUCAUUGCUUAAUAAUAUUAUAUCAUAAAUAAUAUAUUUUUAAACAGCGUAAGAAUCAUAAAAUUAAUUUAAGUCCUUAUUUUAACAAUCUUAGUAUUGAAGUGAAUUUUUAUUUAAAAUACUUAAAUCUAUAUGAAAUUAUAAGACCUAUGAAACUAUGAGAAAUAACUAUACAUUAUAGAUGGUUUUACAAACUCAACCUAUGUGUCCAAUUUUCCUUUAAUGUAUUUUUUUUCUUUGUAUGUUGAAAGCAACCUCCCAACAUUAUUAUUUGUUUGUUUGGGCUAGAGCCCACGAGACCAAAACAUAGAGGCCUGUCAUAGCAAGUACAAAACUUAGAUUAAAAAACAAAAAACACAGCAUCAGCAAUUCAGCGUCAAGUAUCCUCUUCCUUCUUCUGCAUCAACUCAUCUUAUUAGAGGUGAAUUUUCCAAAACUUGAAGUUAUUACUCAUUUUUUGGUUGGUAUUUAAAGUUAGUCGUAGGAAUUAGGGUUAGGGGCAGUGUAUCUUAAUUCAUGAUCUGAUUACUCUCCAUUUCUUGUCAAUUAUGGUGCAGUUUUUGACUAAUCAAUUAUGGCCUAUGAGAUAACUGAGAUAAAGAGUAAGUAAGAAGCAUAGCAAUGCCACUGCGUUCUCUUUAUUGUUUAUUCUAAUUUAAGUGUUUGACACUGCGUGUGUCUGAACUUGGACAGAGAUUGGCAUAGGCCUAAUUGGUUUCGGCAUAUUUUUCGCAUUUCUUGGCAUAAUUCUUUUCUUUGACCGUGGUUUGCUUGCUCUGGGAAAUGUGAGCCUUACUUCUUCAAUCUAAAUUUUUUUAUUUCGAAUUCAAUUGAGGUUGCUAUAACCCUAAUUUCGGUUUUGGUAUCAGAUUUUUUCCUUGGCAGGGGUAGCCAUUUUGCUUGGUUGGCGUUCCACGUGGGCACUCUUCACAUAUAGAGCAAACUUUAAGGCACUCUUCUCUCCCUCCCUCUUCAUUGCAAAAAUUGUUUGCAUUAAAUCAGAGAGCAGAAUUUUCAUUCCUUAAAUUGAAUGCUGAUCGUGGAUCGGCUAUACUAGAUAGAUUGCUUUGCCUGUCAUGUAACAGAUAACCAAUCCAAUUAUCUGUUUGAUAGCUGACACCCUAGUAAAAUUGCUGUACAAACACUGCAUAAUGGAAAGUAUCUGUCAUCAAAUUUUAAAUUAUGUUCAGAAUAAUCAGAACUUUCCUUCCAGCACUCCAAGAAAAUGCAUGUGCUAGUUUUGAUAUAUGGAGUAUCUCAAAUUUAUUUUUGACAUACAUAACCCUUAAAAUUUCCAAUUUUCCUGAUGCCUCAUUGAUUGAGAGGCUUGUUCACAGUUUAUUUGCAACGUAUUAUUUUCUGCUUGUUUCAAUGAUAGUUUGGAGCAGAGAAAUUGGAUUUUGUCCCAGUCAGUUCCUGCUUGUCUACUUGUCUGUAUGAGAUUUUCCCCAGUGCCAAUUGUCUUUAGAAACCAAUAAUUCUUACUAAAAUCAGGAUUCUGUUAGGUUUAGGUCACUAAUCUGUCUUACUCUAAGUACUAACCCUGAUGAAUUAAGGAAUUAUUUGCUUUGGAUUUCCAGCAUCUCUUUCUGCGAUGAACAUUAAGCCCCGCAAAUGUUCUAUUUGAAUGGAUGCCAGUCUGUUGUAUCUUUCGUCCUUUGUUCUUCUACUACUACAUCAUAUCUUAACCUUAGUUCUUUGGUGUCUUUAUCCACCUAUAUAGAAUUUCGAAAUACUUUAUGAAUCAAUAAUGAAACAUUCUAUAUGGAGAUAACUAGCUUGCUUUGCCUUUUUUGCAGGGUUCUGCAUCAUUUCUACUAGGUCUCUUUUUCAUUUGUGUGAGGUGGCCAAUUGUUGGUAUAAUACUUGAAAUAUACAGUUGUGUUUUUCUCUUCAGGUUAGUUGAUGACAUCCUUCUUGAACUCUAUGAGACUACAAAACUUAUUCUACACUUUAUCAUUUAUGCUUUUGGUUGCAGUGGAUUUUGGUCAUCUAUCAAAGUGUUCCUCUAUCAUAUCCCUGUUGUUGGAUGGAUUAUACAGUUUAUCUCUCGUAAGUUUUCUUGUGAAAAUUCAUUCUCAAGACAAAUAUAUUUGGAUGAAAAUUACAAUUUAACCCAGAUAUUAUAGUUUUAUGAUGACUUCUGACUACUAUUUCAAAUAAAGAAUGGUGGUCCUAUAAAUGUGCCUAUAUCAAUUCACAAUCCAUUUAUUUCGAUUUAAUUCAAUUCUGAGAGAAACUUAGUAUGUGUAUGUGUGUAGAGAAAGAGGAGAGGGGUAGUCAGAAGUUUCAGGCCUAUGGGCAGUAAGGAAGCAGGGCCUUUGUAAAGCAUGCAUGUCUAUCUUUCUCCUUUUUUCUCUUUGCAACACCCACCCUCACUUUUUGUUGAAUGUGUAAGAUUAGCUACAAUCAUUUAUGGUGAUUUGGAUAGUGCUUAAUCUUUGUUUCUACUACUUUUCAGCUCCUUGAUUGUCACAGAAGGGAUUUAACUGAUGCCUUAGUAUAUGGCUAAUCAUGGGUUUCGAUUGUAUUGGUAAUUUUUCCAAUGACUUGUGCAUGAAUGCAAUGUUAAGCUAGUUUUUCCAAGAGUUUGCAUCAGGCAGAUUAGCUUCCUUUAGUGAGAAGUAUCGCAGCAUGUUAUUUAUGUAGAAGAGUUGGUACUUGGUAGCCAUAUUUUGUUGCUUUAAAUGUAAACAAGAAUACAAGCUGGUUAUGCUGUUCAGUUGUCUGAUAGCAUGAGGGCUUGCUACUGAUGUCAGACUGAACAUAUAUUAACCUUCGGCUUUAUGCGCCUUGUCAUUGUCAAGACCUCGCCAAAGGAUGUUGAAAUUCUUUUUGUAUGUUUUUGGUUUAUGAAAGAUUCACGGGUUAUUAGUGUUAGUGUUGGAAUUAAACUUUAUGCUAUAAAAAAAAUGUGGAGAAAUGACUUGGGUUUUUAUGUCUUCAAGUUUUCAUGAAUGGAGCCUUUCUAUUUUAAUUAUUGAUCCAUAAAAAGAUUUAAAAAAUGUGAAUCACAUUUUCCAACAAAGAUUCAGACCGUAGAGGCUUAGACCCGACCACGCUAUUUAACAUGGUAUUUGUGCUUUGGGCUGAGACAACCGCAAGAGGGAUUGGUUAUACUAGAUUUUCUGGUUUGACGGCGUGCGGGGGGUUCAUCUCCAACCAUCAUGGGGUUUGCAAGAUCCCUUCAAGUUGAUAAUAUCUUCAAGAGUGAGUUGUGGGCUCUCAUCUAUGGUCUGCGUAGGCUUUAGUAAUGUAAUCAUGGAAUCCGAUUCUGAUUCUUUUGCAAAGUUUGGUCUAUCUAUUGACCAUGAUUUUGUAUUCUUUUUUAUUACCCUUCAAGUUUUAUGGAGGACAUGCUGAUUUGUAAUGCCUCUAUGGCUCUAAAUCAAAUGUAAUUCUGUUGUUUUCCGGCGUUUAUUCCUGUUUAAUCAUAAAAAAAACAUGGUAUUCGUGUAUUACUAAAAUGAAUUUGGCAUUUCACAUGAAAUUAGAUUUAUACUUCCAAGUAUUAGGAAAAUUUGACAUCUUUUAAAACUUCAUAGUUUCUUAUUUACAGAAAACUUCAUAAUUGUUGAUGAAUGUUAAUGGGGAACUACAUAGAAUCGCAUGAUAAAUUACAGUAAUUUAUUGGGAGAUAUUAAUGUAUACAACGACAAAAUCUUGUCCCACUAGAUGAGAUUGACUAAAUAAAUCAUAUAGUAUUAUUCAUCGCUCUUAAAAUGUAAGUUUAAGAAAUAUUAAGUUCAAAAUCUCUCUUGAUGAUUUUUUCAACAUUUUUGGUCUCUUUUCUUUUUUUUUUAGGCUAAAAAUUAUAUAAUCUAUUCUUUUAAAUAAUCUCUAAUGAUUUUUUUUUCAUGAUCAAACCACCUUAACUUAUUUUCUGUCAUCUUUGUUUAAUGGAUAACAUCAUUUCACAUUUUAUCUUUUCUUUUGUGUACAUUUAAAUCUAAAAUGGACUAUUAAGAGACAUCAUGUGCUGGCAUGGGCACCCAAUUGAAAAUCAGACCUUAUUUUUAAUCUUUAAGAUGGAAAACAGCAUGCAUGGUGUCUUCAAAUCAAAGAACCCAAACACAAAACUGAAGUACAACACCUAGUUUGUCACAUUCUCCGAUCCUAUCACAAACAAACAACUAAACGGGAUUUUUUCAAAAUGUUUCUUAGAGAAUCAAACCUAUUAUUAGCUUAUAAUCCAUGUUGAUUUUGGUACCAAGCAAUUGAAUUCAAAAAGAUUAAAAUCAAAUUGAGGGCGUUACACACAGACACACAAAUUCAAACUUAUUUUUCAUGUGAUUAUUCCAAAAAUACACUUAAGUUAACUAAAAUGUGAGCAUUAUCUCAAAUAAAUAUGAUUAAGGGUAGUUUACAAAAUAUAUUUAUUUUAUAUAUGAAAUUUCCGUAAUUAUUGUGAAAUUAAGUAAUUUUGUCUAUAUUUGAGUUCGGAGGUAUUAUUUUUCUUUCUUUAUCUUUUUGGUAUACAAAUUAUUGCACAAGUGAGAUUUCUUUUUAAAAAUAAACUAAACUAGCUAGAACACAGUUCCUGUGCUUUGAAACAAUAGUGUAAGGGACUAAAAUAUAAGUAGAAAAGCAGAAUGUAGAGAGAUAGACAGAGUGUAAGGAACUAAAAUAUAUAUAAUGUUGAUAUGUGUAAGUUAAAAUGGUAGACAUUUUGUAAUACUAUUAAUAAGAUAUUGGGUCAAUUUAUUGAAUCUUAAAAAAUAUUGUUUUAUUAAAAGUAUGUUUGUAAGAAGCGGAUUGAUUUGUUUUUUUUUUAAAAAAAACUGUUUUUAAAAAAAAAACGUUUAAACAAAUACAUAAAAAAGUAGAAAAUUACUUAUUUUAUUAAGAAAUAUUUUUUUAUAAAAAAAAUAAGUUUAAAAAGUCAUAGCUACAUUUGAAUUCAAAUAAAUACUUUUUAAUAUUUAAUACCUUUUACCUAUAAAUUAAUGACAUUUUUUUGGUAGUGUACAUUACCUAGAAAUUCUAUUCGUGUGAAUAUAAGAGCCUUAUUACUUUUAACAAUAACUAAAAGGUUUCUCUUUUAGAAAUAUUCAUAAAAUCAGGUGGUACAUAACCAUAGCACGCAAUACAAAACCAUUUGUUCGAAAUUAGAUUUGAUUUUGUAACGCUUGUUUGUUGUAACUCGAGUAAACUUCCAUGCAAAUACCAUAUCAACCAACCAACCAAUUAAUCAAUCACUGGUUGAAAAUUUAACUUCACUCUAACAUUCAUCGUGUCUCAAUCUCUCUCCAUUGCUCGAAUUUUGUCAUUCACACUUGAACUGACUACACUAACUUCCUGGGGUAAGUUUUGUAUGUCAUCUUCUCCGAUUUUGACGGAACCCUUGGUUUUGGUAUCCGACACACUUUUAAGUUUAUUGCACAAUACAGUUAUACGCUACAUUCCAUUUUCAAUAACCCCCACUUAUGUUCAAAACAUCAUACGGAUGGCAUUUGUCAGCUUCGCAUCAUGUACCUAUUUUUGGAGACAUAUCAUAAUUGUUGUCACAAAUUUAAUUCUGUGUCAACAUUGGCAUUUCCUGUUUCACAUGUAGUAUUUAAAUUUUACUUAAAAUAACUGGAAAUAUAUAUACAAAAACAUGUAAGCUUGCACCUCCGUAUAUUACUAUAUUUUCAUUAUUUUGCAUUACUAUUUUUCUUAUUAUAUUUACCCAAGGGAAUCUACUUUUCGAGUAAUGCUUUGCUGCCUUACAAGAUAAAGUUGCUUUCAACGCUGCAGGACAUGAAAUAGUUGGAGAAAAAAUAUGUGGUUUAGGGCAUUUGAUUUCAUAUUAGCGAAAAAAAUACACAAGGUUAUUUUUUCUUCUUCAAGACUAUGGUGGUCGUCGCGAAGCCAUGUGUGUAUUAAAAAUUUUGUGUCCUUUUUGUGAGAUUAAAAUCAUUUUAGAAAGUGUUAUCAAUGAGAACGAAAUUAGUUUACUAUUGACAAUGAGAUGCUCAAGUACCAAUAACUUGUGACUUUUGGCCACGGAGUACUGAAACUGUGUAGUGUCACGUAAACCAAUUAAAUAGUAUGUCUUCAGCUUCUUCUUGCGACCAAGGAACCAAAAAGCUGAAGCAAAUGACAAACGUGGAAGGUCACUAUAAACAGGAUGUCUUUCGUCAAAAAAAGUGUAAACUAGUUUCUUCUUCUUCUUUUUUUUUUUUUUGUUCAUAAUGUUUAUUAGUUUCAAUUAGUACAUGCUUUCUCUUUGCUUUAAUUCAUUAUGGUAAAAAGUUCAAUUUUUCUGCCAGUCCACGAUUACGUUAAAAAUUUCAAAAUAUGCCAUAUUCACAUGGGACUUGGGCCACGCGUCACAGGCCCAUGCUACCUGCCAUAUGGACGGAGCAGAGCGGUCAGUGAAAAUGAAAAUGGUUACGAACUAUACUUACAUCCGCAUUUAAUUAAAAAAGUUAUUUUUUGAUGCAUUGUUUGUAUAAAUAUUUUUACAAUAUUAACAAAUAAUUAAAAAUUAUAUUAGAUAUAUUUUUUUAGUAAUUAUUAUAGAAAAAAUUAAACUUAUUAUAUAUAAGAUGACAAUAUAAAAUCUUUCAAAUUUAUAUUGUCAAUGCAUUUAAAUUAGUUUCUUAAUAAUAAAAAACUCUAAUUCAAACUUACAUUUGCAUGAAUGACGAUUUUAAUACUCACAUUUAAUUUUGUACUCACACUAGUAAUCAUUGGAUUUAAAUCAAUUAUCAUUUUUAAAGAUUACGGAUGCAAUGGCCUCUACACAAGUACUUUUUAAAGAUUAGGGAUUUAAAUCAAAUUGGCUCAUGAAGGAUCAAAAAUUAAAUUUUAGUUUAUAAAUAUAUAAAAAUUGCAACAAAUUAGUCCGUAGAAAAUUUAAUAUCAAAUUUUUCUUCGAUAAAUAUAAUAUAUUAUUAAAUUAUUUUUAAACAUUAUAACUUAAUAACAAAAUAAUUUUUAAAUUUAAUGACAUAAGUAAUUUAUCCCACUAUUUUCAUGAGACUAAAUUUAUAUUGUAUAUCUUUUAAGAAUCAAUUUAUUACUGCAUCAAACUUUUAAAACGAAUUUGACUGUCUACUCUAAUAUUUAAUGGUGAAUGAUUGUUUUACAACCUUAGUGACCCAAUAUAUGAGUCGCCAAAAAUUAAACAACAUUAGCAACUGCAAACCUCGGUAGCAAAAUAUUAUAUAUAAUUAUCGGUGCUAAUUCCAUUGCUGAAUCUCCAUCUUUUCUAUUUGCAAUUGAUACUUGCAGACACAAAAUUGCAGUCGCUAAAUGGACUUUUUUUUUUUAUAGUGUUUUUCUUCUUCUUCUCACCAUGUUAUUGGUAUGAAUGAGAUCUCUUCUCAUAAUUAAGUUUUUCAUCUAUAAAAUUUAAACUCAAGAUCUUAACUAAGAGAUUAAUAAAAGUCCAAUUCCGCUCGAAGAAUAUAAUUAUAAUAAACUUCUUAUUUGCUGUCACAAUAUAUAAAUAAAUAUAGAUUUAUAUAUUAUACAUUAUCCUUAAAAAUUAUAGUUACAAUAAAAUUUGAUAAUGAUAUUUCCAUAAAUUUGUUAGUAUAAAAUUACACUAUAUUUAAAUUCUUAGUAUAUAUGACUCUCUCUAUAUAUUGAGGGUAUAUUUUAAUAAAAAAAAUAGUGUUGACUAUAUAAAUAAUUAGAUAGUCAAGAUAUUAAUUCUUCGCAUCAAAAUACUCUAGCUCUCUUUCACACAUGCACAUAAAUUGCUGUGUAUUAUACGAUCUUAUUGGUCUUUUACUAUUGAUGUUAGAUCUUCUCUUAUUUAUAAACUCUAUUUUCCAAAUUUUUAAGUAGGAAAAAUAUGAGUAAAAAAAAGUAGGAAAAAAAUCAUUUGAAGAAUAAAUUGGUACAUUAUUAGCUUGUUAUAAUUAGAAGUUAAAAUCCUAAAUAUUAUUACCAAAUUAUGUACGUCCUAGCUAGAUAGAUUAAUAAUAAAAAAUUCAAACCUAUUUCACGUUUAGCCUCUUAAAGAAUAGCCUACGCAUCUGCCUGUAGUUAUGAUGCUUUUAAAGAACCCUAUAAGGACCUACCUGUCUAACUUUCAAGCUUUUCCCAAAGCAACUAUAGUUUCGGCUACAAUUCAGACAUUUUGAAGUCUAUCUGUUUGCAGAUUUCUAUAAAAUUUGGCUAUAGAAAUUAGUUAAGAGAAAUUGAUCGUGCAUGUAAACCAUGAAACUAUAUACCAUAGUAUGUUAUAUAUGUAUAUUGCGCCUCUACCAUGCAUGCUUCAUGCAUUGGAUCUAAGGUUGUGGUGUACGUAUAGACUACCAUGCAUGGAUGGAUGAACCUCGACUUGUUCUUUGGAGAGCAAGACCAUUUUCUUUGAUCUGGACAAAGAAUGAUAAUAAUUACUUUCAUUCAAUAGGGAUUUGAUAUAUGAAUUUGUUAGAUGAUGAUAUAUUAACUGAUUUGCCAUGAAUGAACUUUUAAGAAGAAAUCGUCUGUGAAUGAUCUUCAUAAAUAGAUGCGGAAGAGCUCUGAUACCAUUUUACAGAAUUAGAUAAUUGGUUCGAGUGUAAGAAAGAAGGAGCACGCAUGCGAGAGAAAGUGGAAUAUGUACGUAUUACAAAAUUAUUUGAUAAUAACUUAUAGAGACUAUAUAUCUGUAAAAAAAAUUAUGAGAAAUAAAUCAACAAUAUAUAUUUUUAGAAAAUUAAAACUAAAUUUAGUUAUAUUGAGGUGUAGUACUAAAAAAAAGUCAACAAUAACUCUUGAUGUUGUUGUGCCUUUUGUUUUGAUGGAAUAUUGUAAAUAUUAAAGAGUAAAAUCAUAAUAACAGGUUUAAGGCAUAGGUUAAGAGAAUAUUAAGUUAAUAUAAUGUUAGUUAUUGCUUGAUAAAAUAAAUAUUAAGCAUUAUAUUUUUGACAUAAUAAAUAAUUUUUUUUUAUGAUUUUUAAAUAUUAUUUUCUUAAUUAGUUCCAUAUAACUUUGAUUAGUAUUAGUAUUUGUCAAUAUAAUUAAUUAGAUUCUUUCUAUCGGGCUGCUUUCCAUGGUCAUAAAAUCGACUUCCUUUUAACAACUUUACAACCUAUUUUUAUUUAAACGAUUAUUUAAUUAUAAUGUAGCUCUAAAUAUUCUCGAUCUAAUCUUAUGCCAUAACAUGUGUUAUAUAUUAAUUAGAUAUGUAUAUAAAGCUUUCAAAGAGGAUGAAUGUAAAAGAAUAUGAAUCUACUUGCAAUGUAAAGUAAGAAAGUGUUGUUCAUGCAUGCAAUCGUGGGAGGCAUGCAAAAAGUUGGUUGCGAGCCCAUUGACUUUCAAUUCAAAGUGUUGGAUAUCUUAGAAUCGUCUCGGAUUACCAUUAAUAAAAGGAAGUUAGUAGCUAUAGUGAGUCUAGUGACAUGAGACAUGGCUGCCAAAACUGGGUAUGCUAGUAUUGGAGGAAUUGAAUAAUUAAUGGAUACUCCGUUCUUUUAGUUUGCAAAAUUUUACUAGUCAGUAGCAAGUUGAAUAAAGCUAAUAUUCAUAAAUGACAACAGACUAGUUUUGAAAGCGAUGAAUGAUGACAGUGUACCAUUUUAAUUUGAUUGUAGUUUCUCUUCUUUGCAUUUUGGAAAAGAAAUCUAAGAUAUGUAGAACAUUCUUAAACCAACCAUGUCCCCGUCAAAGCUAAUUAAUAUUAAUAUAUAUAUUUCGGUGCUUGCAUGAAUUAAAGCUGACUAUAUGUACACAAAAUUGAAGAUAUACUAAUUAAAUAUACCAAUUUUAAUAAAAGAAAGAUACUGAUUAGAGGGAAAAAAAUUAUUGCUUCGGUGAGUUUACUUUUAUAUGGAUUCAAAGAAAACCAGAGUUUGAUAUCAAAAACCAAAAGUUUCUUGCAUAUACACCAGGAAUGGAGUUCGAAUUAGGAUGAAUCUAAAAAAAAAAAGUUCGUAUUAAGGAUACUUCUCAUAUUAUUAGACUAUUUUAAUUUAUCAAAAAACAAGUCUUUGGGUAAAUUAUUAUUUUCUCCUACUCUAGUGAAUAAUGAUGUUACACAGCUUAUUCUACAAAAUUACAGUAAAAUCAUUUCAAGAAAUGUGUGAAAUAAAAUCAAAAUGUUAGCGUAAGUCAAGACACCAAAUCUAAUUCGACACAACCUCAGUCUCAAUUUUUUUUUUUUAUCUCAAUGUAAAAGAAAUGAUUUUUUUUUUAUCUCAAUGUAAAAGAAAUGAGAGGUUGACCAUAAUGACACUAUUUUCUAAAUGUAAUAGUUUCUUUUAAGUUAACACAUCAAUCUUUUACACUAAUCUCAAGAUAUUAUUAGUUAAUCCUAGAUUAUCAUCUGUUUAGAGCUUUAACCAAUCUUUAUGUGACAUGUUAAGUUUUUAAAAUUAAGAUUAAAAAAAUUAACAACACUUAAUUACAUAUCAUGUUGAUAUUAGUCAAAACUAAAGAUUAAGUGGUGAUUCAGGAUCACCUAAUAUUUUUUUUUCUCGUCUACUCCAACUAUAUGAUUAAUACAAAUUAAUUUUGUGUCACCUUAUAAGGUUUGUCAAACCGUCACUAAGUUUGAGUCAUAUGUGCUUAAAAAAAUUUCCUCGUCGCAUUUCUCACUUUCUCUCCCCUUCUUCUAUUUGUUGCCAAAAUUAUCAUUGACAGUAACACCAAUUCCAAGUAAUUCUCUCUCUCUCUCUCAUUCUUUGUCUUUUUCCAGGUCCCCAUUGUGUGUAUUUACAUUUGGUUUUAGCUUUUUGUUUGUUGGUUAUACUCUUGUUGCAUUGUGCUCUUUAUCGUAGAUUAGGUUUUAGCUGAAAGUGAUUUAGGUAUAUUUGUGAGAGUUUCUAUGUGAAUUGAUGUGUUAUUUGUUACCAGAGAGCAACCAUAUCAAUAGGUGUGAUCCUAUCUAAAGCUUAACAUGAGAAGGCAUUAUGUGUUAAGCUUGUGAUAGCUAGAUCUAACUAACAUGUUCCUCAAAAGUGUAUUGCCUUAUUUGCACAAAUGCUUGUUGACAUCAACAAAAUAAUGCUUACUUGAAAAUCGCUAUAUACCAACAGGAUUGACGUGAAAGCUGUACUUAGGGUUGGGGUUGAGAAGAUUGAUUGUAGUAUGAACAACUGCAUGUUAAUUAUGUUGUAAAGAAGACAACAACUUAUCCGUAGACAAGUUUUGUCAAGUUAAUUAGGAUAUAUGUUCCUCGAAGGCAUGGGUUGGAAAAACUACAAAGAUGUUUCGGUAAAGAGCUAGGAUGUUUAAUUUAUUUCCCAAUCAUUUCAGGUUAUAAAGAUUGUAUAUAAGCAUCAAUAGAAUUUUCCAUUCAAAUGAGAUAACAUCAUGAGAGCCAAAAAAACAAACUGUGUGUUUUACGCGCGCGCCAUGAAAAAGGUUGUAAUUGAGAGUACUCAGGCAUUGGUCAUCUAUCAUCAUUUCAUCAAAUAUGCCACAUUUUAUAUUGUGAACGAACUAAUUAGUUUAUAUAGUACAACACUAAUGUAGUAAUGAAUAUAUAUUAUUAGAUGAUUUACAGUUUUAUUGAAGCUGUGUUUUUUCAGGUUACAAAAUUAUUUGGUACAUUGAUAUAUAGCUGGUGGGUGGGAGUCAAAAGUUGACGACCACUUUGAAAAGAAUUAUCCGCAAAAGUGAAUGAUGCCACACUGCCGCAGUGAAGGGGCACACAUGCAUGCUCGCCACACUGAGCUAGCUAACCUUUUAGUAUUGAUAUUAUUAUGAGAGAGAACCAUAUAUAGACACUGAACGAUCUAAGUGUGAAGCAUUUAAAUGUGUGUGAGAUAGAUAGAUCAUAAGACCAAAAGGUUUCACUGGAUAGAGCCACGUAAGUUAUAUAUAAGCUGACUUCAAAUUAAAGUCGUCACCAUAUAUGGCAUAAUAAUAGCACCGUGUCCGUGUUGAAAGUUCAUUGUACGGUACGUGUGAUAUGCUUCUGUUUUCCUAUUCUCAUUAGUUUGUCCAAACCCAAUCACAAGCAUGCGUCAAACAACAACUGCCACUCGUCUGAAUUGCCCUGAAAUAAAUACCCAAUACUUCAGGGGUACCCAAAUAAAAUUGUCGGUGCUGCUUCUCUAAAAGCUUAAUUAUUUAAUAUAUCAUCUUGUGCCAUUUACUAUCCACAAUUUGCAAUCGCCCCCAAUCCUUGCCCAGAGACAAUUAAGUACGUAUCUAUAUCGGUUAAAAUGAGAACUAAUCUUGAAAUUGAUUACAACUUUACAAGCUGAACAUAUUUCAUAAAUGGGCUGCUGCACAUGUAAGUUCUAUGCACUGUUUAUGUGCAUUAUUACUUUUGGGUUUGCGGAGGAAACUUAUGCCUAAUUUAAUAAAAUUAUUUUUUUCCUUUAACAGAUUUUAUAUUAUAGGAUACUAAUUUUUGAGAUUGCAAAUAAUGCAACCGGAUUUUAUUUUUUUUUAAAAAAAACAAGCAUAAACGUUAAUAUAAGAAGUUUAAAUCCCAUAUAUUAACCAACAAAUUAAAGUUCAAUUGAAUUAAUAAAUAUUAAUUGAAGUUCUUUAUCAUGCAUGCUCAUUAUCAAAAUUUGGCUGUUCAUGAUUGUGUGAUUUGUAUGUUUGAUAAAUAAGCUUAAUCUAACCUUGACUCAAUGCAAGUUAGGUCACAAGUCCCCAACAAAUGGUUCAGGCAAUUUUAUUCCUAAAUAUACACACUACAUCAAUUUUUUACAAAGAGACUCUCUAUUAUACACCUAAGAAAAAUAAAAUAAAAUCCUAACGCACAUCCUUCGUUCUCAUUAAUCAAAUAAACCUAAAUCCCGGCUAACUAAUACAAAUUAAAACUGCAAAAGACACUCUUAUGUUGGUAGUAGCAAAUUAGUAGACUGGGAACUUUCCAACUGCUACUCUUAUAACUUUUUGUUCAUCUAUGAAACAAAUAUAGGAAAAAGAUAUAUACUCCGGAUACAUAUACUCUAUGCCUAAUAAUUAAUGAGAAAAAAAAUUAUAUAGGGAUAGUGUAAAAAGUUUUAUACAGUCUUUCAAUUAAAAUUUAUUAUGGUAAGAUGAUUAAUUUUUUUAAUAAUUAUUAUUUAAUGACGAUUUAAAUUAUUUUAUAUAUAUCAGGUUACUACACUUUUAAGAAAUAAAUCUCUAAUGCUUAAACGCAUUUUUUAAAAAAAUUUAAUUGUUCCUUUUCCCCCUAAUAAAUAAGAUGUAAUUUUUGGUUUAGAAAUUAGGCAUAGGAAUAUCAAACAUCAUGAACAUAAUAUCUAACAGGAAUGCCAUGCAGCCUAAAACUAAAAAUUGACAUACACACUGAAAAUGAAAUUUGAUGGAAUCAAAAUUUAUUGAUGACUUUCCUAAACCUAAUAUGAAAAAGAUAUAUAUACGCGUACCGAACAUUUUGUACAACCAUAUGAUUUCUGUAAAACAGUAACCACAUGUCCUUAAACUUGCUUGUAAAUUAAAAGCAAAUAACAAGAUCUUGACCCUUAGAUAAAACAAAAUUAAUGGUUUGUAGACACCACAAAUCUGUGUCGACACUGAACAAGAUUUAAAAAAAAAAGAUAUAAAAGAGAAAGAAAUGUAAGUAUCUGAUUUAACGUGAUAGAGAGGGAUAACAAAAUAAUACAUGUUAGCUAGGUGGUUGAAGUAGAUGAAUGUUAUAAUUAUCAGAAAUUUUUUAUUCUAAAAAAUCACAAUUUUCAAACAUGAAAUUUUUUCUCUUAGCUUACCAAAUAUGUACACACACCCUCAUCAAUGUAUCCUUAAUUAAUAUAGAGAAAAAAUCAUAGUUCAUUUAUAAGAAAGUCAGAGGACAGUAUGAAAUAUGAAUAAGGUUGCAGCUGCGAUAGAUAUCGGUUUCAUUAAUUACUACAGAAAUAAUUUUCAAUAUAUUUGAUCACUCGUGGUAGAGGAAUGAAAACUGUUUCUUUGGCAUAUAGAGUUGAAGUCAACCUCAAUCAAGAGAAAAAAAAUACAGGGUCCACAUGAUCGUGUUAGUAUUAAUUAAAGUACUCUCUCUUAAUUUUCACUCCACUCAGCCCAGCCGCAACAGAAAACAAAAAGAAAAAAUGGGAAACAACUCGUGACAUAAUGUCUAACCGACCAUAUAAACAAUAGAAACUCAACGAAAAAUACGAAUUUUGAAGUCUCGGUCAAAUCCUCGCCUAACAUGCCUUUUUGGUCUCCUAUCACGCACAAUUCCCUUCUCCACUUCUUCAUUUAAAACUACACUGUAUGUCUUUCCUUUGAUCCACGAAGAAGCCUCUCUCUCUCUCUCUCUCUCACUCACACACACUUAUUGUUCUUCUCCUUCCUUUAAUGGCUUCUGUCACACACCCAAUACCCAGCAGCAGAACCAACAAUAAUCACAUCACAUUCUCGCAAACAAAGUCUCUCCCCUUUGGGCAGGUUUCACUUCCCAUGAAAAAGAAACAUGACUUGUCUCCCCUUAGCCACUCAAUUGCUGCUACGAGUUCCAUACUAGGAAUCACCAGCACCUCCAAUUCCAGCCAUGCACACACUAGUACUCUUUCCAAAACAAUAACUACAAAGCCCACACACACUAGUACUCUUUCCAAUUUCUGGAGAGAGGUUCAAGGGUGCAACAACUGGGAAAACCUUUUGGAGCCUUUGCACCCUCUUCUCCGCCAAGAGAUCAUUCGCUAUGGCGAGUUUGUAACCGCCUCAUACAAGGCCUUUGAUCUCGACCCCAACUCCAAACGAUACUUGAACUGCAAGUACGGGAAGAAGAGGAUGCUGAGUGAGGUGGGAAUGUCAAACUCUGGCUACAACAUCACUAAGUACAUCUAUGCCACACCUGACAUAAACAUAAACCUCCCCAACAUCACUAACUCUUCUUCUUCUGGUCGGUGGAUUGGUUACGUGGCUGUGUCAUCAGAUGAAGCUGUCAAGAGACUUGGCAGGAGAGACAUAUUGGUAACUUUCCGCGGAACAGUUACCAAUCAAGAAUGGAUUUCGAACCUGAUGAGUUCAUUGACACCGGCCAUGCUUGAUCCCUAUAAUCCACAACCUCAAGUGAAGGUGGAGUCAGGGUUUCUCUCUCUUUACACCUCAGAUGAAAGCUCAGCUUCCAAGUUUGGACUCGAGAGUUGCAGGGAACAGCUUCUCUCUGAGGUGUCAAGGUUGAUGAACAGGUACAAAGGGGAGAACGACAACCUUAGCAUAUCUUUGGCUGGUCACAGCAUGGGAAGUGCUUUGGCCAUCUUGCUUGCCUAUGACAUAGCCGAGCUUGGAUUGAACAAAAAGAGUGGCAGCACUGAGGUGCCCGUUACUGUGUUCUCAUUUGGGGGACCAAGAGUUGGUAACUCCGAAUUCAAGCACCGCUGUGAGGAGUUGGGUGUCAAAGUGCUACGAAUAGCGAAUGUUAAUGACCCCAUCACGAAACUACCCGGUGUUGUGUUCAACGAGAAUUUUAGGGUUUUGUUGGGUGGUAGGUACGAGUUCCCUUGGAGUUGCUCGUGUUAUGCUCAUGUGGGGGUUGAACUAAUGCUUGAUUUCUUCAACGUGCAAAACCCUUCUUGCGUUCAUGACUUGGAUACCUAUAUUUCCCUUCUCAGGCGUCCAAAUAAGCGCAAAAGGGAUGGAGAUGGAGUAAAUUCUUUGUUGGAGAAAGCAACAGAGUUGCUCUUCAACUCGCAAACCAUGAAAACUUUGCCCGGAUUCUUAACUGCAUACAACUACCAUGAUUUGCUGAAUUCAGUCUCAAGGGACAUAUUGUGUUCUUGGAGCGAUGAAUUGCUUUUUGGCUUGGUUUUUUUGUUGUUGUAAGUAGUAUCUUGUAAUUAAGUAAUGAAAUUAAAGUAGAUAACUGAUUAAUAUAUAGUUUUACAAGUAGAAAGGAAUUAGCUAUAGCUAGAAAUUGUAAAAUGAAGAGUGCAGACUGCUGAGGUCUAUAUAUGUAUGUAAAUCCUUGUAAAUUGAUGAAGCUUUCAAAUCCAUGUUUAUAACUUGCAACGUAUAUAUAGUGAAUAAUAUGCAGCUUCCAUUUUUUUAACACUGAAUUUGCAAUAACUCAGCUCUCUGCAGUUCACUCAUUUUUUUACCUCACCACACAUGGAGCAAGGAGAACGGGAUGGUGAACUGAAAAUCUUUCUCCUAUAUAUGUUGUUUAAUCAGGGCAUAUGAAGAUAACAGUUAGGGCAUCAACUAAUUCCAGUUGGAUAAACAAGAAACCGCGAGUGGGAUAUUGAGUUUGUUUUGGCUCGAAUAUUAUACUCAAUGAUCAAAGUAUGUUCUCUCGAUGUGUCGGUUUGGUGUGCAGGGAACGAGUAGUGCAGUGGAAAGCGGAUACUAUAUGUAAAGCUUAAUACUCUUAGUUUUAUCAUUUAUGUGAGGUGGGAUAUUUAGAUGGUUGGGAAUGUCUAGAACAAUUAUAGAUUUGGUUUUUAUCCUGUUGUGUGUGGUAACUGUGGGGUUAAGCAAUAUUUAUAUCUAGCUGGGUAUUAAUACAGUUUAACCCUGUUGCUAGCAUCUGGAUUUUAUCAUAUGUAAGUGUAUUCUCAGGUACUUCGGGUACCAUUUCAACAUAUUGGUCCAAAAAUAAAAUAAUUAAAAUUUAAACUUUAAAUUUAUUAACAUUUGUUAUAUUAAUUUUUUAAAAUAAAAAGAUGACACUUGUUAACUAAAGGUCUCAUAUAUCACUUUAUUCUUUAAAAUAUGUUUUUUCCUUUAGAUUUCAUUUUCUGUUAAAUUGAUCUUACAUUUCAAUGAUAUGAGUUUUGUAGAUUUUUUUUUUAAAAAAAAAAACCACGAUCUCCUUCUAACCUCUUUUUCUCUUUGAUAUAUUAGAGGGACGAUUAGACAAAUACUUCCAAUCACCAAAAGAUCAUACUUCGCUAGAGGAAUUGGCUGUGACACGUUCAAAGUCGUAAUUUACCACUGCUUUAAGUUCUUCUGUGUAUCAAAAAUGAUUUUUAGAUACUCAGAUGUUAUUCUAGGCUAUGUUUAUUUCUAGAUAUCAAGAAAGAUUCUCGAAAGAGUGAGUUUUAAAAUUUUACAUUCGAUCCAUGUUUGAUGGUAUAAGUUUUAGAAAAAAACAUUAAUUCCAUGUAAUUGUUGAUUUUCAGGAAUAUCAAUUACUCAUAAUUGUCUUUUGAUUACUCAUAUGACCAGUGGUUCGUGUGCCCUGAUGAUUGCAUUUAGAAACUAAAAUAAUACACAAUCAUCUAGAAACUAAAAUAAUACAUAGACAGGGGUAAAUGUUCAAGUGCAAAGGAAGACGGUGUUAUUUGUACGGAUUCAUGUAUAGGCAGGAAAUUCUUCAAUUUGUAAUUUAUAAGGUUGACAUUUGUAAAAGUGGCAGGUGAUAGUACAUUUGAGCUAGCUAGGACAGUCGUUGAUAUUGGUUGAGAGUGAGUAGCUUUUAUGACAGUGGUUAAUAGAUAUUAGCAUCUAGCAUCGGUAUCUAAUAUUAAUUAACCUUUGUGUAUCUCUUUCUGUAACUUACUAAGGUGCUUCUGGUACCAUUUAAUAAAAAUCUUCUUUUUAGAUUUUAAAAAAAAAUCAUAAUUAUGUUGUUUCUUAUUUUCAAGGAGAAGGAUGAGUCUUUUUUUUAUUAUUGACAUGAAAAUAGAAGUUAUUUUAUACAAUAACCAUCUAUUAAUUCCUACUUUAAUUUUUCACAUUUCUUCUUUCACUUUUUUUUUCUUUUAUUAUAUUUUAUUUUUGUUUUUCUUUAAUUACUAAAUAUCAACCAAAUAUGCUCAUGAGAAUAGCUAGUAUUCCUAAACAUAAUAAUACUGGAGAUGUGAUUCUUGAAAAUGCAAAUUAAAUGAUGUGAUAUGAUAGAAAAAUAAUGAUAAAAAUAAAUGAAAAGUGUUAUGGGAUGUUUAAAAAAUUGAGAUGUUUAAAAAUCAUUACUAGCCGUAUGUACUAGUUGCUGGUGUUUGUUAUUUGCUUUUUUGUUUCAUACACUUGUUCUUAUUUAUUUCUCGUAACUUUAAUUUUAAUUUUAUUUUCCUUUUUUAAAUUUUACUAUAUAUAAUCAUGGCCUGGAAAGAAUCAAGAAGCUUGUAAAGUUCUAAUUAAGCAAUUUUUUUGGGCGAUAAAUUUAUAUUUUGAUGCUAUCUAAGAUCCUUUGAACAAGAUAUAUCCUAUUCGAGAUCACUCAAGCUCCACAUAGUUCCCAGAUAUUACCCAUUCGGUUAUUGAUUAUAUGAUAUCUGAAGGUAAAAUGAACCUUAAUCUUUCCAAAGUUCAGUCGCAUGUGGCACUGAAAUUUCCACAAGGGAUUUUCUUUGUUUGAAGGAUCUGCCCUCGUAAUUAGAGUGUAGUUAAUAAUUAUCGUACAUGCUUGAAUUUUGUGUACGUGUUUUUCGUAAAAUAAUCCUAUCAAUUACAUGUCAGUAACGUAGCAUUAUUUCAGGACUACAGCUAUAUAACUGCUGUCUUGUUGAUCCAGAAAGUUCCUCGUCUAAAUGCAGGCCUAGGUCUCGAUCUGAACUGCAUACUUAAUCUCCAAAUGAAUGCCAAAAAAAUUUUCUCCCAAAUUUAUAAAAUCUCCUAAUCAAUAGUAUCGUAAAAAAAUAUUUUUGACACCAGCUAUUUGAGUUUUAUAUACCCCAUUUGAUAAGAGAAAGAUAAAACAGAAAAGAGCGUAAGAAGAGUGAUGAGCUAGGAAAUAAAACGAGAUUAAAAAAAUAAAGAAUGUGAAUAAGAGAAAAGACGUAAGAACAUCAGAGUUGAUACCAUUACACAGAUAUAAGUUUUUCUCUUUAAACAAGCUAGCAUUAGAAUAUUAUUGAAAUUAAUAAAGUAAAAACCCUUUUAAUUAGGAAAGAGAGGGAUUAAAAGAAUGAUUGUUAAAAGGUACAAUAAAAGGAGUGUGAGAAUAUGAAAAUUAACUAUAAAAUGUCAAAUUACCUGAGAUAUAAAAGAGAAAAAAGUAAAAGAGACUCAUUUUCGUGCCUGUUAUGUUUUAGCGGCUUGUAUUGGGUUGUCACUACUUGUGACAAACCUCUUCUAAUCAAUGAUAUAAUUUUUGCUGUGAAAAAAAAACGAGACUCAUUUCUGAUUAACACGAAGAUGUAUAAAGUAGCAACAAAAAAAAAAAUGUGAAUCCUUUCAAAAUGUGAAAUAAAGGCAAUUUUUACGCUACUUUUUUUCUUUAUCCUCUUUACAAAUAUCAAAUCACCUAGAAAAAAAGAGAAGAGAGAAAACAAUUAUUCUUUCAGUCAAAAAAAGAAAAAAAUUAUUCUUACAACUCUUUUAUAAUUACAAUAAAGAUGAAAAAUAAAGAGAAAACAAACGUUAUAUCAAAUAGAUGAUGUGAUUAAAAAAAUAGGAAAAAAUAUUAAAGGGUAUUAUAGAAAGUACAUUUAAUAAUGAAUAUAACAAAAAAAAAAGAAAUAUUUUAAUCAAGACAGCUUUAGUGACAAAUACAAAAGAUAAUGAAGUGAAAUUGCUAUCUUUUUGAGAAGGAAGUGAAAUUAUUGUCAUUCUAGUUCUGCUUAGAAUCAUUGAAUGUUCUGUUAAAAAAAAAUCAUUGAAUGUGAAAGAGGAAAAAAAUAUAUGGUCAUGAUUAUACUUGCAGAAAAAAAAAAUAUAUGUUGACUUCUUUUAUUUUCUUUUUGAUGUUGCCGUAUAAUGUCAAGUCUAGUAAUAAUAACAUUCAACCCCGACUUAAAUUUUUUUACCGUUUCUUAUAUACAUAUUUCGUUUGAUCUCAAACAUAAAAUAAAGAAGAAAAAUAAUCUUUAUUUUAUUGUUGAUAUCAAGUUUUAAUAAAUAAUAAAUUAAAAGAAAAAAUAUUUUUAAUUAAAAUUAAUGUAAUUAAAUAUAAUUAACUAAUUUUUUUAAUUUAGUAUAUCAUUUUUUUUCUUAUAUGAGACCAAAUGAAAUAUAACAUAAUGAUCUACGCAUCAUCAAUUCCAUCUCAUACCCUUGCGGUGCAACUCAAUUGGUUUGGUUUCUACAAGGUGUUUUGAUUUUUUUUUUUAAAAAUUAUUGAAGUCAUAAACGUCAAAUAUUAUGAUUUAAAACAUGUAUGUUAAUAGUUUCAGCACAGCUUUUAAACAUACAUUGGUUCCAAUAAAAUAAAAAAAAAAAAAAAAGACAAUACAUUGGUUCCAAAAAAAUAAAAUUUUAAUAAAAAGACAUUACAUUGGUUCCGUUCACUAUUAAUAGAAGGAGAAUGAAAAAUCAUUCCGCCUUAACACUUAACUAUAACCAAGAUAUACAUUUUAUUGAAUUCAACGUAUCUCAACAUUUACAUACUUAUUUUUGAAGUGUAUAUAAUUUCUAUGUGACCAUAUGAUCCAAGCCGAUGCAAACCACGUGCUCAAUUUGUUAAAAUAUUUAUUGUAGAUUAGUAUCAAUCAAUAAUUAUUAUAUUAUCUUUUAAUAUCAUCAAUAGAUAAUUUAAAAUAAUAUAAGUAUCAUAGAUUACAAAUUAUUUUAUAUGAGAUUAAAGAUAACAUUGAUCCUGAGUUGAGUUAGUUAUUAAUAGAUAACUCAUUUGAGAGAUAAAUUUAUUAUCUUAUUAAGUAAAUUUAUUCUCUAUGAUUCUCUCCCUUUGUCACACUUUUAACUCUUAAAGCAAUUUCUUAGAAAGUGGACAAUAAUUCUUUUAAGGUUAAUUAAGAAUUUUAUCGUCAAGUCAUGUAUAUAAUUUCUUCCAACAAAACCUUCCUUUUAUAUACAUGAUCAGAAAUUAAAUUCUGAUUAGCUAACGUGCUUAAAGAAUUUAGUAAUUUACCUAUUGUAAAUACUUGUAAUAAUAUAUAAUUUAUUAAAUUACUUCCUUGGUCCUUGAAUUGUUUGACAAUUUUUAUUUAAGUCAGUAAAUUAUUUUUUAUGGAAAAUAAAUUGUUUGAGUCAGUUGUGUGAGUUUACAAUAAGAUUAUUAUGGGGUAAAAUCUAAAGAGAUUUGUGAAAUAAUAUUUUGGAUGAAUGAACCUAUAGAGAUCAAAAUAAUGAUUAAAAAACUUGGUUGAGAAUAUUGAGUUUAGAACCUAUAAUUGUGAAAAUAUAAACAAAGGAAUGUGAGAAUACUAACAUAAAAAGGUAAUACUUAGGAUAGCCUUGCAGAAGUGAGUAUAUUAGAUUUUGAUACUAAUUAGGUUUUUGUGAUUAAGUUUUUGCAAUAAUAAUUAGACUGAAGGAUCCAAUUAAAAAAAAAGAGUAGAUAUUCAAGGACCUAAUUUAAAAAAUGAAUGACAAACUAAAAAAAUAUUGAUGAAAAAUGUGAAAUUGACACCAAAAUUUACUUUUAGGAAAAAUAUUGAAAAGCUUUUUCGAGAAGGAAAUAAUCUUGGAAAUCAAAUUUGAAUUUUAUAGUUGAUUAGCCAUAGAAAAUAUAUUAGCACUCUACAAUGAUCAUCUUAAGACAAAUAUUUCUAAUUAAAUAUGUAAAAUUACGAUAAGUUUAAAAAUAUUUAUUUUUCACUUUUGAAAUAAAUAAAUAAAUAAUUUUAUUCAAAUGAAAUAAUUUUUAAAAAUUAACUUUAACUCAAAUGUUUGAUUUUCUCUCUUUAUAUCCGAUCCUUUGGAACAAUGAGAAUCUCAAAUUCAUGUAAUUCUUUAAAAAAAGGCUUGUGUGUUGUGGAAUUUAAAUUAAAUUCAAGUGAUUGUAUUGUCAUAACUCGUCUCAUUAAAAUAUAGGAUUAAUAAGACAUAACACUUCAAUCCAUAUUGAAAGUGUAUUUCAUCUAAUUAUAAAUUAUCAUAUAUAAUUUUUUUAUUAGUUAAAAUUUAUUAAAAAUUACAAAAUUAAUUAAGAAUCAUUAAAUAAGAUGUAAUGAGACCCACUAUAAUGUAAUGUUUUUAAUAAAUUUUAAUUAAUAAAAGAAAAUAUAUUAGUAAAAAUGUGUUAAAAAUGUAUUUUUAGCAUUUCUCAUAAAUAAAUAAACUAAGUAAUAGACCUUAUACUUUGAAUUGGGUAUAUAUAAUCAUUUUCUUGAAUGUAACUAAUAAUGGUGGUCUUUUUUAAUUUUUAUAUGGGAGAAGAAAAUAAUGAAAUAGAGUAUUUUACUCGAUGUGAGACUUUUUAGGUGAGAUUAAGAGGGUUUUUUUUUUUUACAAUUUAACAACUUACUUUUGAGUUAAUUUUCAUCAUGAUAAAACUCAAAUUUAAAUUAAAAGCAAAAAUACGAGUUAUUAGUCUUCCUCUUAACUUUCUAACAACAUAACAAACGCAUCAUUGAAAUAAAUAUAAUUUAAAAUAUAACUUCAUCUUCUUAUAUUCUCUAACAAAAAAUAAGAAUUUAUUAACCUCAUUCUUCUUAAAACAUUCUCUUUUUUCAUUUUAUAUUUUAAAUGUUUUUAAAUAUCCGGACAAAAUUGAGUGUGAUAAUAUCAUAAUAUUAUAUCACUAAAUGAAUAUGACAAAAAUACCAAGUCAUUGCCAUUAAGUUGUAAUUGUUUUACGUAUUUUUGGAUUUUUUUUAUAAUAGUAUUAUAUGGUAUAUGUGAUAAAAAUUAUGGAAUGUAUAACGAUUGCAAACAAUUAAUAAAAAUAAAUUAAACAAAAAGUUUAAAAGGGAAACGGUCAUCAAAGCUAAUAAUACAAUCUUGAGUAGUCUUAGUUGAAAUAUAAUUAGAAAACAUAACGGUGUAUUUAGAUUUGACCCAUUCAUAGGACUAGCGUUUAGGCACUUCGACAAUACAUAAUAAAAGUUAUAAUAAUGAUGCGCUGUAAUGCCAUUACGGUUGAUUUGUGUUUUUUUUUUAGAAGUGGAUAAUUAAUGGGAUUAUUUCAAACUAAUACUGUUAAGGUUAUCAUGUAUUUACCUUUAGUUUUUUUUUAUUAUUAUUGAAUUGGUUUGAUCCGGCAUAUUCGGGUCGAGCCAUUUUAUCCUUUUUUCAUUUAACACCAUCUUUGAAAAGUUUUCUUUUUUAUAUUUAAAUAAUUUAAUUAAAUAAAUUAAGCUAGGAUGGAUUAUGACUAUGACCCACCUGUCACCAUAUUGUUACUUCCCCUCCCUCCUAAUCUUUUGGAGCGAAAACAUAGUGGAGAACGUACGUUUCCAAUGCACAACAAUACCAGUGCUACACUGCAUAAACAUUAAGAAAACUACAUGUAGAGACUAAAAGUAAUGUCUUUUUAAUUGCACAGGAAUUUAAACUAUUUCUCUUUAUAAUUAUAUAAAAUAUAGUUAUGAAAUCCAAUUGAUCCGGUCAAGAUAAUAGAUAUGUAAUAGUCCAACUGGUAGAUCAGUAAUUAGUCUAGUUUGAUUUGGUAUAUAUUAAAAAUUCAAUAUCUAUUAUAUAUAAAUAUAUAACUAACAUUAUUUGAGUUAGAAAAAUUCAUCCAUACUCUAAAAUUUCAAAAAUAACAAUCGAUAAUAAUGAAAUAUCUUAAGUUAAUUACGUCAUCAAUCCAAUAAUAAAACCGAUCUAAUUAGAUCAUUGGGUCUCGAUUUAAUCCGUCUAAUCGAUCGGAUCAAACCAAAUUUCACAAUUAUGAGAUAAACUCAAUUUAGAAAAAUCAUGAUCGCACAUUAAUUUAGUUAUAGAAACUAUAAGUAGUAUAGAUUUUAUUUUUCUUUUCAAUUGCAGCGCCUCCUUAAUUGAAAUCGAAAGCAAUGACUUCUAGAAUUAGACAUCCCUAACUAUUAAGUUCAUGUUGGGAUUUUUUUUAUGAUUGGAAAAGUAAGUUCAUGUUUAGAUUUAAGGUGGAAGAUUUAAAAAAAAUAAAAUUUCAUGGUAUAUGUUUUCUCUUUUUUAUUUUGUUUAUUAAAAAAAUUAAAAAUUAUUUUUUAACUGUUAUCCAAACAUAGUCUAAUAAAGGUAGGUUUAAGGGUUUCCCUUCAAUCCAAUUUAACCAAUUUUUAAUUAUAUAUGAUUGGGAUGUAAUAUAAUGUAGACUUGGAUCUAUGCAUUAUGCAUGAUUGUUUAUUUAUAUUUUAUUCUUAUAAAAUUAUUUUAAAAUUUAAAAUAAAUUAAAUUUUGAAGCACAUUCACAUGAUCCAAACAAAAUGUGAUCAAGUUGAUUUAGAUUGAGUUUAAAUUAACAAAAAGGACAUAAAUCUUAUGUAAUCCAUCCUGUUUAUUUUUUUAUUGGAUUGGGUCAUAGAUUUAAUCAUACAUGAUCAUAAACAUCUCUAUACAAAUCAUCACAGGGUGUGGGGACAAUUACCCCCACAAUAUUUUUUUUAUUUGUAUAUAUGUAAUUAAAAAAUUUGCUCCCAUAAAAAAAUAGAUAUUGCUCCUAUUAGAAGAAUUGUUUUAAAAUGAAUGUAAGAAAAUAUAAGAAAUAAAAUAGAGAGAAUAAAUUGAUAUUAAUCUUACUUUUUUAUACCUUUAAUUUUGUAAAGUAUUGACGAUAAAAAAAUCAUAGAGCAUUUUCAAAAUAUAAAAAAUAAUUAUAAUUUGUAAAAGUAUAAAUAUUUUAGAUUUUUUUGUCAUAAUAUUACAUAUUUUAUACUAGCUUGAUGAUAUUUUUUUGUUAUAAUAUUAUAAAUUAUUUCUUACGUUCACCGAGAAAAUUUUUUGGAUCCAGCACUACCUGUCACUCCAAUCAAAAUUAACAAUCAUGGUUUGUUCUAUAGUAUUUUUUUAAAGAAUUCUUGAUGUAGCAAGACAUGGUUAACAUGGUAGAACGUAUGAACUUUUCUGAUGAGACACUAUAUAUUAAAUAAGAUUAUAUUGUCUUCAUAACACAUGUUGACACGAGUUUAACAAGUGAUAUGAAAUCGAAGUUUAAGAUGUUUGCCUUAAUUGAGAAUAUGUUAAAAAUCAAGUUCUACUAUCUCAAAAAACGAUAAAAAAAAAAUUGACAUCCCAUAUCUCAUUUAUUAGAGAUAUUUUGGAUUGAGUCCAUUGCACUAUGAACCUAUAUUAAGGCCCAUUUGGAUCACAAUAAAAAUUAUUUCAAUAUUUUUGUAAUUAAAAAAGAAUAUUAUAUCAAUGAGUUUUUCAAGGAUGUUUUGCUUACUUGCUUGUUUCCACUACAUGAUUUUGUGGUGUAAACGCAGGAUUCAAUUAUUAGAUUCCAUCAAAAGAGGAACCCUAGUUUGAUUAAUUACGAUGUCUACUACCAUCCAUUUUUCAGUUUAAUUUGCGCCCUGUUUUUACCAAUUGUAACAUAUCACUGUCAAAGUAAAGACUCUUGGCGCUUUACCAAUUAAAAAAUAAAACAGUUCAGCGUAUAAUAAAAACCGUCUAGGUACGUGAUACAUGCUUCCAUUGCACAAAUCUUUUGCUUGACUUGACUUCAACAAACCUUAAUUAAACACCGAAGCAUCAAGAUAUAUUUAUGAAAUUCUUGAGUGUUAACACUGUUCAAGUGGUGGCUGUACUUGGCCCACGGAAAAUAAUUAAGAAUCAAAACUACUUUAAAACAGAUUUUAAUUGAAAACAAAAAAAAAAACAGAUUAUACAAUGUCAUUUAAUCACAAAUCAUAAUAAAUUUAUUGAUUUUUUAAUAAUUAACUUAAAAUUCAUAUCAACUAUAGUUUCUGAUUGAUUAACAACAUAAAAAAAUUAAUUGUCAAUUAAUACAUUACCAUUAAACUCAAUAUUUUACGCAUUCAACUAAUAAAAAUCAAUAUCAGUAUAAUUAUUAAGUUAAUUAUUAUAGCAUCAAUAAAUCUAUCUUAUAUAAGAUAAUUUAUAAUUAAAUAAUAAUAUAAAAAUUAUUUUCAAUGUUUACGCUAUUAACUUAUUAAAAUAUUAAUAAUUAUAUAUAGUUGCUAAAAGAGUUCUUAUUUGAGUUUCAUCAUUUUUUUAGAACUUAUGCUAUAUUUUUAUUUUCUUUUUAAAAAUUUAUAUAAAAUAAAAAUGAUUUUUAUAUAGUGUUAUAUAUAUAUAUUCAAACUAAACUUUUUUUGAGUAUUGAACACCUAAGAUCUUGACAAAAUAGGCGUAUUCUCCUGUUGCCUCCACAUCACUCUUUCGAAGGCAUAUCGUUUGGAUGUGAUGUUAGUGAUUUGGUAACAAAUAUGCUAAAUCUUGCAAUAAUUGCUAUUUUUAAAUAGUACGAAUACUUUGACAAUUAAAAUAACUCAUUCAUUUUAAGGACACUUACGACAAAAAAAAUGAAAAUAAAAAAUAUAUUAAUAAGAAUUCAACCUUUGAUCCUUUAUUUAUGAAUAAGAUAAUUCAUAAAUAAUACAAUAAAUCACUAAUAUACUAAUUUUUUUAAUUAAAUACAUUAAUCUUAUUUUUUAUGUAUUAUUAUUCAAGAAUUAUUAUUUUUAAAAAUUUAUCAAAAAUCAAAAUUUUAAAAAAUAUUUAAUAUAUAAAUAUUUUUAUUUUUAUUUUGAAUAGUUUAUAUAUUUUAUUUUACCAAUUUAUAAUUAAAUUUCAUAAAACAAUACAUAAAUUAUUUAUAUAAUUUCAAUAUACCAAUUAUUUUUACUCUAAAUAUUUACAUAAAGUUAAAAAGAUUUAAUAUAUUAAAUAUUUUUUAAUUUAUAAUUUUUGAUAAUUUCAAAAAAAAUUAAUAACUCUUCACUAAUGAUAUAUAUAAAAUAAUAUUAAUAUAGUUAACAAAAUAAAACAAGUAUUUUAUUGUCUUGCCUAUGGAUAAUUUUGUGUAAAUAAUUUAUAUAUUAAAAUCAAUUUUAAAAAAUUAUAUAAAUAAUUUACAUGCUAAUUUAUGAAAUUUAAUUCUAAAUUGGUAAUAUAUAUAUAUAUAUAUAUAUAUAUAUAUACUAUUAAAAAUAAAACAUACAAAAUAAUAUAAAAUAAAAUUAAAAUGAUUUGUAUAUUAAAUAUUUUUUAAUUUAUAAAUUUUGAUAAUUUAAAAAAUAAUUAAUAACUCUUCACUAAUGAUAAAUAGAAACUAAUGUUAACCUAACUAAUUAAAUAAAGCAAAUGUUUUACUAAUUUAUUUCAUUUCUCUAAAAAUAAAGGAUCAUGUAUGCCACAAUCCGCUUGUGAUUGUUUUGAAAUUUUGGGUUUUGGUUUUCAAAUUACUUCUCAAAGUAAAAUGUGUUUGAUAAAAAAUGGAGCUAAAAUAAUUUUAACUCAAUUUUAGAAUAUAUUUAUAUUCAUUUUUAAAAUAUAAAAACAAUUAUGACUGUUAUCAUUGACACUCACAAUCAUGAUCAUCACCAUCAUUGAUACAAUUAUUAUCAUCAUUAUUAUUGUCGCUACGAUCAUUAAUACUAGCAUUAUCAUCAUUGAAAUUAUCAUCAAACCAUCCCCGCUAAUGACACCAUCAUCAAUCAACACUAAAAAUAUCAUCACCACUAAUCCUAGAAUUAUGGGUGUUGCCACCCUUUACAUCAUGAGUAUAGUUGUCAUCAUCCACAUCAAUGCUAAUACUGUCAUCACAUUAAACAAGCACCCUUAAACUUAUUUUAAUAAGAUAAAAUUUUUUUAAAAUGAUUUUACUUUAAAAGUAUAAAUAAAAAUAAAAUAAAAACUAAAACAUGAUUAUUUAUAAAGUUUUUGAAACUUAUAACUAAAAAUCACUCAAUCCCAGAAUAGGAAAAAUGGAAUAAAAAAAAAAAAUACUCAAUCCGGGCCUACAAUGGUGUUGGGAGAGAUUUCAAAAUUUUAAAGAAUUAAUAUAUGAAUUUUUUAGAAGAAAUCUAUGGAAUUUAUUACUNNNNNNNNNNNNNNNNNNNNNNNNNNNNNNNNNNNNNNNNNNNNNNNNNNNNNNNNNNNNNNNNNNNNNNNNNNNNNNNNNNNNNNNNNNNNNNNNNNNNUAUAUAUAUAUAUAUAUAUAUAUAUAUAUAUAUAUAUAUAUAUAUAUAUAUAUAUAUAUAUACACACACAUAUUCAUGGAUGAUCAAUUAUUACAAAAUUGAAUUUUGAUUAGCAUAAUUUAUAAUUAUGAAAAUAUCGUUAAUUUCACCCAAAAAAAUAUCGUUAAAUAAAUUUAGAAAACGGGACAAAGAAAAAGAGAAGUACAGGAAAAUAAGAGAAAGAGAGUGAGAGAAAAGGAAGGAAUGCAUUAAGACUUCGAAAAAAUAAUGUUUACAAUGAGACCAUAAAAAAUAAGGAUUUUUUUUUCAUUUUAAGUAUUAUUUGAAAAAAUAUAUAUUUUAUAUGAUAAAAAAAUCUCUUAUAAUAUUUUCAUUAUUUUAAAUUUUUGAAAAUUUAAUAUAUAUAAUAUUUUAAAUUCAUUUAAAAUUAAAUUUCUUUAUCAAGAUUCUUCAUUCAAACACGCUUUAAGAGUCACAUUGUUUUCUACUCAAAUGGAAUUUUUAUCAUGACAAAAAAAUUUAUGCCACCUAACGUUUUCAGUAAAUUGUAUCAAAGAACUCUCAACCACUAAUUAUUAUGCAGAGAGUGUGCUUGCAGAGAGAGAAAUGAAGAAAAAAGUGAACCAAACCUAGUGUUUUUUUGUUGUUGGUAUAAACGACAUUUGUUUAGAAACAAGAGGCGUUGUUUUUAUUUAUUUAUUUAGGUAUUAAGACGUGUAAAUGAAAAAUCAAACGCUGUAAAAUCAUUGAAAGAAAAAAAUCAGUGACAAACAAAUUAAAUUUUUCUUUAUAUUGACUUUGGAUGCACUAAUAGUAUAUGAUUUUUGUCACAUCAUUGCUUUAUAUUGGGGGGCGUCAUGAUUGAGAUGAAUGAGCUGGUGCAUAAAAUGUAAUCAUUAAUUAGCUGUUCCCUUUUUCUGCUAAGAAAGCAUUUACUGAAGUCAAAUAAGAAAUAAUAAUUCCUUUACAUUCCAAAAAUACGUGAGAGCCACAAAGGAUGCAUAGUGUAAGAAAUCCAAAUAAUCAUUCUGAUUUCAAACUCUUCUUUCUUACAAUCUUACUAAACCUUAACUUUGUAAAAAUUGAGCCCUAAUCAAUAAUUCAUCGCAGCUAACUAUGACUAAAUACGUCAAAUCGGUGACUAAGCAUUUGCUACAUUACGCAAAAGUGAAAUCUUUUGUAUUGUAUUAUCUAUCAUAUUAAUAUCUGCCAAUGCGAAAUUGAAAAUUAAUUUCACAUUUUUCUAACAAUAUAAUAGAUAUAUAUUCUGCUUGAUCUUUUUAAAGUUAAAGAAAUGAUCCAAAUGAGUUUUAUCCCUGUUGAUAUUUUUUUCUUCAUUUGCACAAUUGGAAAUAAAAGUAUAAAACCCUAGUGUAGUUUUUUUUUAUUAUAAUUUUUUAAAAAAGAAACUUAUUAACUUAGUGAUCACGUGCUCAGUUUAAGGUGUGGAAGUCUGAUAUCAAUUUCAACAUUUUUUUAACAAUUUUAUCUUAGUUUAAAAGUAAUUUGAUAUUCGUUUAUAGUCUCUUGCAUGUUCGUUUCUUUGUAUUUUGAUUUCUCCGAGUUUUUAAUUAAUAUAUGGGAGCUAGAAAUGUAUCAAUUACACUUUGUUGAAACUCUCUUGUUUGUCCUUCAUAAUAUGAAAGUUGGUGCGUCUAAUACCUUUCGAAUUCACCAAUUAGUCAUGUACAAUUUGAUAAAGCAUUCAACUUAUUUUCCUUGCCUUUUCCUAGAUAGUAUUGAUGUUGUAAAGUAGAUAAUGAUAUUUUCCUUUCCUUGGCCAAGUACUCGAUCGAUCAUCACUAUUCGAAUUUCGUCUCUUGUUUUAUGUUUUUUCAUGUCUUUUGAGAGUUGGUAGUUUUCUACAUUUAUCUUUUUUGUUGAAGGACGAAGCUGUAAAUCAUCUCAUAUAAGCUUUUAUUUUAUAUUUGAUUACUAAUUAUCCUUUUUCAUAGACUUUUUCUUCGGUAGAACAAACCAAGUAAAGCAUGUGGAUAGAUGACCUUUUGACAAAUUAACUAUCCUUUGUGUGCUAGAUUAGAUAUAAACUUUCUUAGAACAAAUGGUACAACGAGAUUUGUCUUUCUUAAUAAAAACAAAUUCUUAUAUUUUGGUUGUUGUAAUUAGAACAUAAGAGCUUUUAGAUCACUCUCGAUCUAACAGUGUUCUACAACAUCCGUUUUGAAACAAUUACUUCUUAUUAAAUGUGCUAAAUUGUGAUAAUUACAAAAUUAUUUAUUUGAGCCCUUUUAAAAAGCCAAUAACAUGAGAAUUAAGAGUUUGAACAUUUUAUUUAUUUAUUUAUUUUUUUAUUUUUAUAAUGAAUGUACAUUAAUGAAAAAAAAAAUUAUUUUUAAGAAAGGAAAAUUUAUAUAAAAAAACUUAUAUUUAACUUGACAGGAGUCAGAGACGGUCUCUUAUUACUCUUACGAGUAUCCCUAAAUACAACGAGAAAAAUUAGUCAGCGAAUUGAUUCAACAUCAAAUUGUUAUUAUAACUUAAGUGUAUCUCAGAGAAAAUUAGAAAUGUAAGAUUAAUAAAAAAAAUUGUCACACCUAAAUUAUUCCUCUGUUAAAUGGUAAUAUCUUCUCCGACCAAAAAUUUUGGUGAAUGUCUUCUCCGACCUAUUUCCUUUGUUUUCAGCUCUGGCUGCCACUUGCGCUUUUCUUGUAGUUUAACUUGACUGGUUCAGCAGAUAAUUCGGAGUAAUUAAAUACUACUACCAUUUUAAACAUGCAGAUCAUAUAUAUACCAUGUGUUCUUCAUGCCCAACUUUUUGUUCGAUUCAGAUGCAUCUAACAGCAUCAUCCCAUUACACAUUACUAUAAAACAUCAAAUCUAUAUACUAUAAACAUUUUCAUCUCCAAGAUUCACUAAUUAUAAAAUUAAGUUAGUUUACCUUUAUAAGAAGUAAGCUAAAAAAUUAUAAUUAUAAAUUUUCUUAAAAUACACUCAAGGUGUAACUUAUUAAUUUACUCCUUCUAAAAAAAUAAGUGAGUUAAGUUAGUAAAUCCUAUAUUUAAAUGAUAAGAGUUUAAUUUUAGAUAAAAAAAAGUUUAAUUAUUCAUUUAAUUCUUAUAGUUUUCAAACUUAUCCUUUCUAGUCUUUAUAGUUAAUAAGUGAAUUUUUUUAGUCCUUAAAGUUUACAUUUUAAUUCUUAAAAGGUCUAUACUGUUAAAUUUUUUUAACUCCAUUAAUUAAAGAAUUUUAAUGGUAGAAAAUUUUUGGAAAUUAAAAUAUAAAUUUUAGGGACUAAAAAAUUCACUUAUUAAUUGUUGAAAAAUCAACGCUCUGGUACCACUGUUGACUAAUCAACACUCCCUCAAAUAAAAUUAUUCACACCCACACAAAGAGUCGUGAGAACACAUACAAAGAUUACAAACACAAGAAUUUAACGUGGUUCAACACUUUUUGUCUAUGUCCACGAAACCGUCUCAAAAAUAUUUUUACUAUUAUAAGAUUGUAACACACCCCAAAUAGUAUAUCAUUCUACAAACCCGAGUAUCUCACUCAAUGGUUACAAGAAAUGAUAAUACUCUCACACAAAGACUUUUUUCUCUCAAUAAAGUGACUUUAUUUUACAAUCUCUUUUCUCACACACACUCUAUCUAUAUGUGUUGUGUUUCUCUACUAAUUCUUUUUUCUAUUUACAGUGAAGAUUGCUAUUAACUAUAAUGAAUAAGUUCUCUUAGAAGUUAAAACAAAAAUAACUUCCAAUGCAUCUAUCAACUAAGGUUCAUAUAGUAAAAUGUAAUCUUUCACUUUGUAUUUAAGUCACUUAAACCUUAGUGAUAAAAAUUCAAUUCUCAAUGUGCAUAUACCUUAUCUUUUGACUUGAAACUCUAAAUUAACUAGGGACUAAAAGAGAUAAGUUUGAAAACUAUAGAAACUAAAUGGAUAAUUAAAGUUAGAUAAAAAUCAUUUAAGUUUAAAUAUAUGGGAGAGAAAUGUUUUUGACAUAAUGCAUAUCAAUAAAUUAUAUCCUAUAUAGUUUAAACUAAAAUUAGAAGAAUUUAACACAUAAAUAAUUAUUUAAAUUAAUAUAUAUAUAUAUCAAUUUAUAAUUUUAAAACUUUAAUAUCUAUAUCAAUAAGGAGAUAAAUGUUAUAAAAUUUUAUAACGUUAAUUGAACGUAAUUUUUUGUUAAAUAUUGAAUUCAUUAUAAUUUCAUUUUUAAGUGUUAUUUUGUGUUUUUGAUAUUUAUAUGUAUGUCACUAGUACCACAAAAAAAAAAAAAAAAAGCUUCGGCAAUCACAAGACUGUUUAAGGUGGAGACAGGGCCAAUUUACGUGCAGCCCAACACUCUACUCACCUAAAAAAAGUAAGUGUUUUGGAUUUGGUUCCUCGUUAUCAAAUGCCUCAAGUCUGUUAUUCUGUAUCCUACAAGUAGUAACUAACUGAUGUUCGUCUUUUCCCUUUCAAUUUUAUUCAACUGUCCAUAUGCCCACACCAUUUGUAAUUCUAUUCUUCACUUAAAUAGAUACAAAUAGGGAAAUGCUGAUGAGUACAAAAUUAGUUUUGUACUAACCACACGAACAGUUGUUUUUAGUAUAAAAAAACACUUAUAUCUUAAUUUUUAAUUAUUUUUUUUUUAAAAGAAGAUAACAGCUUAUAGAUGCUCAAGUCCCAAAAACAAUACACACUACCAAAACUGCACUAGUCUAAAGUGGUCUCGUUUAAAUAACUCAUGUUAUAUAAAGAUAAAGAUCAGUCACUGUAUACAGAGUUACUACUUACCAGUGGCGGAAGUAUGGCAAGAAUGAUUUUUGUAUGACUUGUAUGGGUAGCAUAGCGUGUGUUAAAUUACUCGAGUGUAAUACUAAUACCCAUAUAUAUAUAUAUAUAUAUAUAUAUUCAAUUUCCCCCUAACUUGUAUGCAAGUUUACUUAUCCAGAAUUAUAUAAUGAAAAUGAUUAUGUGAAUUUCUCAAAGCAUGCGAAGCAUGAUCAAGGAACUCUGUUAUUGUUUUAAACUAUUUAAAAAAAAAUCAGUGCAAUUCAAAUCACUUGCAUAAAUCUUUAUAAAAAAAAAAAAAAACAUUCAUGCAAUUAUCUCGUUUUCAUCUAUGCUUACAUGUAAGUGUUUAAUUGCGGAAUAAUCGUCCUUGACAACCUAAUCCAUUAUCUUAUGUCCGUAGCUAGUUUGCGUUUUCGAUCCCUAUGACGACUUAAUAUUGAAAAUCUUGAUGGAAGAAAGACAGCACUUUGUGUUGCUCCAUCUCAUGAACUUGUUGUACUUGUAUCUAUGCGCCGAAUAUACGAAGAUGUCGAAGCUGACUACGCUCAAAGCCGUGAGAAGCCAGUAAAAGUAAUCAAACCUGGCAGUGUUGAUGUUUUGAGACAACCAAGAUGGUUGGCCUUGUGGCAGAUUUAAUGAUGUUGUUUAUGAUAGUGUCCACAAAACAACCCAAGCCACCAGCCAGUGCAGCAUAAGCAGAGCCUAUGCUCUUCAUGGCAUCAGGGGAUUCUUCAUAUAAAAAUUCCGACAACCCCACAAUUAAUGCAAAACACUGAGGCCUGGGAACACAGGCAUGCAUGUAACUGGGAGUUUCAAGCGACCCAAGUGGGCGUUGAGCAUGAUUUUGCAAGCUGGUAUGGCGAUAAGUUUGAUAAGGAUCUUCACUUCUUCUACUUGAGUAACAGUACACAGCCUCCAAGGACUGGGAUUAGCACCGUCUUCUUUCAAUUGCAAACCUCAAAUCAUACAGGCCUAUGAACUCACUGCUACCAAAAGAGGCAUUUCUCUUUCUUAAAGCAGCAACCCAAUACUCGUAGCUACGAAGAACACCAUGUUAGAUAUACCCAUUGCAAUUGCCAGUGAGCCAAAUGCAGAUCCCCAUCCAAAUUUCAUCUGCACCUAUGGUCACUGACAUAGAGAAUAAGUUGAAGAAUCUGUCAAAAUGAGAUUUACUAUUGGAGUAAAAAAUGAAAAAAAUCUUGAGAAUGAUAUGAAACUUUAAAAUCCACCAAAAAGAUAUUUAAGAUUUCAAUGGAAACUGAAUGAAUUGUGUAUGAAUACAAGGUUGAACAGAGAAGAGAGAAGGCAUUCUUAAUCCAUGAUCUUUUGAUACAGUUAGGGAAAAGCGGCCAUAUUAAAGGAAGGUUCAACUAACACGUUGAAACCAGCCAUGCACAAUAAAUGGCGGUAACACUACACAACAUCAUUGGAAGCGAUUGAAGAGAAUCCAUUUAUGGUCACCUGCUGUCAUUGAUUGGUGCCUGCAUGUUAGUAGUAGUAAUUUAUUCUAACUCUUAUUCCCAUUAUCGUUUUGUUUAAGAACUUUGGGUUGGUUCAGCAUGAAAAUGUGGAUGCACAUAAUUUUCCAUCUGAGUUGGAAGGUGGGGAUAGGACAGUUGCUUGAAAUUUUGUGCUUGGUUUUAAAUUCUUCUACUUCAAUGAUAUGGUCCUAUUUCUCCACACAAGCCAAUCCAGAUUUUAACCUUUCACUUCUCUGAAAUGAAUCCUCUCGUACCCAUCAUCGGUCACGUUAUACCUCACCCUUUUUUUUUUUAUUAUCAGGAAUGAGAUAAACACAAUUUCAACAUGACCUUAUUAUGUUGCAAUACUCUUGUAACUUGUAAGUAGAAUUUAUACUAUUGUACUUCUAGCUGCAUCUAAGUCUAAGUUAUAAAAUAAAGACUUCAUGAGGAAAACAUGAAAAUUUGUGCUGGUUUUUCUGUACAUCAAUGUACUUAGAAAACAAAAGUAAAAUAACAAUAAAUUAUAUUUAACUUGUGACCUCAACUUUUAAACAAAUUAAAUAAAAGGUAAUGAUAUUUACACAUUCUUUCGUUUUAAAUAUUUCAUCAACAUUUUUUAUUUUUCUUUAUUUUUCUUUUUCUAUCACAUUAUAUCACCUAUCAUAUUUGUAUUUUUAUAUUUUUUUUCUCUCAUUAAGUGUUUAUUAGCAUUUGGAUAUCUAAAUAUAUUUUUCCAUUAAUAAAAAUACUUUUAUAAACAUUCAAGUAUAUAAAUUAAUUUUAGCCCAUAUAAAAAAAUUAUUUUAUUUUAUCUUCCUUUUCUUUCUCCUAUAAAUUCUUAUAGAAAAAAUUUAUAAGCACAACCUAUACUAGGAAAAAGAUUUAUGUACAUCCCAAUGAUAUUUUACACCUUGAAAGACAAGAGAGAAAUGUAGAUAUGAUAAGUGAUUGAUAUGAUUUGAUAGAAAAAAAUAGAUAAAGACUAUGCUUGGUAAGACAUUUUAAUUAAUUUUUAACUUUUUCUACUAGUUGAAAAACUUGUUUAAUUAUUUGGUAAAUAAGUUUUUUAGUAACUUCUAAUGUUUUUUAAAAUCUUACUUAAAAUACAUUUUAUAAAAUGUUAGCUUCUAACUUAUAAUUUUUUAUAUUUUCUUCCACUUUUAACCUUAUUUUUUUUUAUUCAUUUACCUUGUUAAUUUUUUAUAAAAUAAAUCAUGAUUUUUUUUGUCAUUUUACACUUUUUAACCCGUUAGUUUUACUAAACACUUAAAAUUUAUUAAGUUAACUUUUCAGUUUCUCCUUAUUAGCUUUUAACUUUUAGCUAAUUUUGAUCAAUAUAACCAAAAGAAAAAGAAAAGAUAUAGGUGAAGUGAAGGAACAAUCCGAUUUUUUGAUCCACAAAACAUGAUUUUCUUAAAGCAUCUCUAAUGAAAAUUUCUUAAGUUAUUUUUUAUGGUCUCUACAUUGUCAUGUCUUUAUAAGAAGUUCAUACACAAUUUUGCUCUCAUGGUAAGAAACUUCAAGAAAUGUCUUUAUAGAAAGUUCAUACACAAUUUUGCUUUCAUGUUAAGAAACUUCAAGAAACUCAAACUAUUAUUUUUUUUUUAUUUUCACUUAAUUAUGAUGUUUAGGGUUUCAUACACAAUUUUGCUCUCAUGGUAAGAAACUCAUAUUUUUUAUGUGUUAGAUAUAUAUUUUUUUAUUACUAAAAAAUAGUCCCUUGCAAAAUAUAUAAAUCUUAUUUUUAAGAAACUUGUCACAUAGAUUUACUCCGAUGAAAAAAAAAUUGUAAGAAAUAAUUUAUUCUCUUAAGAAAUUCUUCAAGAAAUUUCCAUUAGAGGCAAUUUUGUUCAAUUUGGGUUUGCAAUUUUGCUCGAUUUGGGUUUGGGACUGUUCUUUAAGGCUGAAUCUCGUUGCAUAGUUAAGGGAAAUUGCUUUCUGCACCUCCGAAUUUGUAGACACCUUUUUAAACUUCCAGAAACCCUCAUUCAGAAUGUAAUCCAAAAUGUAAAAUUUUACAUUCAGCAAUGACUAAUCCGGAAUGUAAAUUACAUUCUAGAUCCGGGUGCAAGAACCAAGUCUGGAGGUGCAGGAAGCAAUUGCUGAAAGGAGAUAGCUUUCCCAAAUCCCAAUUUCCCUUACGACCUUGUGUGGUUUUCGCUGUCUCUGGCCUAAGGGAAGCGACUUGGUGAACUGCCCUCAAUUUAUUAUUAGUUAAACAUGCAUGAGUUGUGUUAUUGAUCACAACAAAAUUUUAAUUAAAAAUUCGAACUAAAAUGUAAGACUUUUAAACAUAAACGCACAACCAUUGUAUAGUGGGGAAAAAACAAAACGCUUGACUUGAAGCGGACAAUUUUUCCCAUUUACAUUGUAUCACUAUCGUCUAAAUAAAUGACUCCAUGAAGCACAUUUGCAGCAGCACAAAAUGCACAGCCGCUGCCUUUUAUUAAUCCAUAGAUGCCAUCAUACACAGCACUGCAUUACUAACCAUGACGUUCAAACUUCAGUGGCUGACCAACUUAAGAGAGUUUGCCUUCUCUUGCAGAGAAUCCAGGAGGCUGUCAAAGCUCUUCUUAAACGAGUCCACUCCUUCAAGUUCAAGCUGGGAACCAACAAAGCUCCAGUCAAUACCCAAUUUCUGGAGAGCAUUGUAUAUUCCUUCAGCUUCAGAUGCAUUUGAGUCUAUUGUCCUGGAUACGGUACCAUGAUCAAUAAAUGCUUGAAGGGCUUGGUCUGGCAUGGUUGAUACCUGGAAAGUAACAAGGUAUUGCUAUGAUGAGAUACAGCAAAGGAAACUAUGGUUUUUAAGUUUCUUUAACACAAACAAGGCCAGACAACAAACAAGUCCUUUAAAGCUAAUCCUAAUAUUUGUUUUAGAUCAACUCGAACAUAAUUAUAAAAAAUUGGCAAAGUGAAAAAAAAUGAUGGCUUACAGUGUCGGGUCCAAUAAGAGGAGCAACAUAUAAGGUGUCAGAAUAGGCAGGGUUCUUUACACUGGUUGAGGCCCAAAGGAGCCUUUGCUUCUUGGCCCCCUUUUUAACUAGAGCUUCCCACCUUGGACCAGAAAAUUUCCUUUGGUAGAGCUGGUAAGCCAAUGCUGCUUGGGCUACUGCUGCCUGUAAAAUUCAAUAUGCAAUCCGAAGAGCAUAUUUGACAUUUGAAAGUGUAAUAAAUCCAAAGCCAAGAAUAGAAAUUAGUUUGGAAAACAAUAAACAGUUACCUUCCCACGUAGAUUAAGAGCCUCUGGGGUGCCAAUUUUCUCAAGGGCCUUGUCAAUGAGAGUGUCCACUCUACUGACAAAGAAAGAGGCAACACUUGUAACUCUAGAGAGGUCAUUUAACCCAGAUGCCUCAAGACCAUCCAAGUAAGCAUCUAUUACAGCUUCAUAUCUUGCAAGAGAGAAUAUCAGCUGUGCAUACAAAUACCAGAAUAUCAAGACUUGAACCAUGAAAGUAAUAGAGAUCAAGUCAGACAACACUCGUCAGGACAGUUGGAGACUUAGUUUUCGAUUUUCUUUUAGAUGCAACCUCAAUUCUAACCAGAACAGGCUUAAACUAAUUGUAUUUGUUAUUUUUGUAAUGACAAUAUCUACACAGUUACUUAUCAAGUAGCUAAUAACCCAACCUAGAACAGCAUAUCAUAACAAUAUAUGAUACUAAUUUAUUUAAUUUGCAGAUUACAUGAAAGGAUGUGGCACAAACUUACCGUCACAUUCACACUUAUCCCAUUAGCAAUAACUUCCUUAAUUGAAGGCACACAUGCCUCUGUAGCAGGAAUCUUAAUAUACACAUUGGGGCGAUCAACCACUUUAUGAAGCCAUUUUGCAGCUUCUAUGGUUCCCUCAGUGUCAUCAGCGAGCCUGGGAGAUACUUCAACAGAAACAUAGCCAUCACCACCAUCUGUUUGAUCAUAGAUUGGUUCAAAUAAUUUGCAAGCAUCUUGGAUAUCCUUCACUACAAGUUCCCAAUAUGCACUUUCAAUGUCUUUCCCUGCUUGCACAAGUUCCCUGCAUGAUUGAAUAAUAUGAUUUUAGCAAUUUAAGAACAAUUAGAGAAUUAUUAACAUAUGAGACCAAAAAAAAUUAUUUUAUUUUUCCUUUUAAUAUCUUUCUUCUUGUAAUAACAGUAUUCAUUAAACUUUCAGGAAUACAAGGCCUAAAGCAGACACAACAGUAUACAUAAUGCUGCGAAGAGCUGCCGCUACCAUGAAAAAUAGGAAAUAAGGAGUAUAGCCUUAGUGUAGUUUACUACACUAAACAUAUUUUAUGAAUAGACUGACAAAACUACAUGUAAGUGCAUGUUUAUUUCAAUUUAAUUUGAAGAAACAAGCACUUCCUUUUUCCAGCUCCAUGUGUGAGCUUUUGAAAAAAACCAGAUGUUUCCCAUGAGAAAAUCUAUGCCAAACAUGGGUCAAUACACUUAAAAGACACACUAUAGACAGACAAAAUAUUAUGUGUCCACGCCCCAUAGUUUGUAGUCCACUGUCCGCCACACUGGCUGUUAAGUUUGAAAGAAGAAAUUUCAGAAUAAAUAAAAGAUAUUGAUGGUACCUGAACUGAUCAUUGUAAGCAUUCGAUGAUGAGAUAGCUUUCUGAAAAAUCUGCAAUCACAUAUACAGACAGCAGUUUAGAAUACUAUAACAAGCAAUUUUAAAGCAAGAUGUUAUAACUCAGAAUAAGUGUUUGAAACAUUAAUCGGUUUUGAUUUCUGCAUUAUUAGCAAUAUCUACACAUGGGGAACAACACCCAAAGAAAAGAAAAAAAUUAUUACCGCAGGGUUGCUAGUGACGCCUCUGACACCACUUGCUAUAAGAGGAAGAAGGUCUGUAACAGGUCUGCAGAGAUUAUCAUACCAUGGACUCUGCCCUUCUUUCUCAUAAAGAUCAUGAAGCACUGUCCUCUUUGCAGGACUUCCAUUCCCAUCUGUUUGGGAGCAUUUGAUCCUGAAUGAAGACAAUCAAGCAUCAAAUAUAUGCCUCCUACAUGAGCAGUUUAAGAUAAGAAACAAUACUACACCUUCAAACUAAUUGUCACUUGAAGAGCUUAUAGGAAGCUUAUAUAGGCUUAUUAUGACUCUUACAAGCUCUUUGAAGCUUACAUGAGACAUAGAAGCAUGCAUAAUAUAGAAACAUAGAAGCAUUGCCCUUGAUGAACCAAAAAUGAAAUUUGUCCUAGUUACGGAUAAUUUCAGGAAAGGAAUCAGAAUGACACUCUUCCUAUUUGUAGACAAUAGAAAGUGAAUUUUGAUGAUAAUGAAUAUAUAAUUUUUAUUGCUUUUAGUAAUGUCCAAUAAGUAUUUUCUUAAUAUGAAUUUGCAAAAUUGCAAUUAUAUAGUUAAUAUGUUUUAUGAUUUUUUUUACUUAUCUAGACAUGUAUCUUCCUCGUAUCAUGUCCUAUAUAUUUUUAGAAUAAUAAGGUAUCGUAUCAGAUACACACUAUCUGUGCAUCAUAGUUAGUUAGCAUGCAACCAGUGGCGGAUCACAUAUGAAUGAGGGGGUGCACUUGCACCCCUCACUUUUAAAAAAAUUACAUAUAAAUAAUAUCUUGAAUGUGUAUAUUUUGCACCACCUAAUUUUAUAUAUUUGAACCCUCAGUCCUUAAUUUUUUUUACUUCUUUUAUGAUAAUAAUUAUUUUUAUUUUUAAAUAGAUUGUGCCCUGACUUAGGGUCCUAGAUCCGCUGCAUGCAAUCCCGAGUUAUAGUAACACAACUCGCACAAAAACUGUAAAGAAAAAUUCUGCAGUGAAGCAUUAUUCUAACAAGCUUACGGAUAAAAAUGAACCUCAUGCAAAUUUUCGAAAUGAAAAUUUUAGGGAAAAAAAGAAAAGAAAAGCAUAACACAUUCCAUUUUCACUCUUCCGUAAAACUCAACUUGUAGCAGCUACCAACUUUCCUAUACUCGGGUCGCAUCCUACCAAACACGCCCUAACAAGACACUUCGAUAGUUACGAUGGCGAUCGAUCGCUGUUAAUUUAAACUUCGGGGUCAAUGAGGAAAAAAAUAAAAAAUAAAAAAUAAAAGAGGUGCAUGUGGAGUAAUAGAUCAAGCGAAGGUGAGAAAGAUCACAAAGGAAACAAGCACGAAUCGCGAUAAGAGAAAGUGUAUUGAGAGAUCAGAGAAAACUUACCGCAAGGAGGUUUUAAGAGGGAGGGAGUGAAUGGAUCGGAGGGAAGCGGAGAGGUUAAUUUUGUAAUUAAUAGCGUUGGAAGAAGGAUUGAAGGAGAGGAAGCGAGAAUCUCUGGGGCGAAGCGCUUCUGAUAAGGAAGCAGCUGGAGAUGGCGUUGAGAGCUUGAAAAUGGAGGCCAUUGGGAAUUGCAAGACACCAAGUAGGUGGUUCGAUUUAUAUCAUGAUAUUAACUUAUUAGUUUUUAUGAGAUUUGGUAGAGGGAAAGUUGGUGCACCUUUUCGUUGACUAAAAAGCCAGAGGCAGGGCAACCAAAUAAGAGGUGCCAAAGGGGUAAUAUAGGAAUCUUGCCAUUGGUUUCGUCUCCUAGCCGCCAUCUACUGUGCGUAAUGCGUUACGCUAUUCAUUUUAUUUUUUAUUUUCUUAUGUUGAUUGAUUGACUGACUAUAGUGUUUUCAAAUUUCUAUUCACCUGUUCUCCCUAAUUUGAAUAUUAUCGGUUAGUCCAAAUAUAUAUUUCCAUAAAUUAUAAAUAUAUAUAUAUAUUUCCAAACAUUUUUUUAUAUGAAAUAUGAAAGGGGUUGUUAGAACUUAGAAGGCAUCUAUUUAACUUCACACAUCAACGUGUUUGGGAAAUGUUUAUGAAAAUUGAAAUUCUACUUCUACUUGGUCAGACAUGCUUCACAGGUCUGGAUUCAGUUUUUCUUAGGAUAAAAGAUAAAUAAAGUUUAUAAUAACUUUAUAGUUUGUUGUUAUAAUUAUAAUUUCAACUAUUAGUUCUCUUAUUAAUUAUUAUAAAUAUAUAGUAUCUUCAAAAUCACUUGCUCACCUUAAAAUAGAUGUAUUGCGUCUAUCCUCUAAUCUUUCACUAGAAUUUAAAGGAGUGCCAGCUUAAUGAAAUGAUCAAGAAAAGUUUAAAUACUAAAUUUAAGAAAUAUAACAUACGUAGUUUGGACGAUUUUUUAGACAAAAUAUAGUAAUACAAAAUAUUUAUGGUCACCUGGUUUUCAUUUAGGUCCAACACAACCACCUCCCAAAAAAAAAAAAUAACUUUCAUUUUUAAGCCUCUUUACACACUUAAUCCUUCAUUCCACAAGUUUUUUUUUUUUUGUCACAAGCUUAAAAACAAAUCCAAAUUCUCAUUAUCUAUGGAGAAGCCUAGCCUAAAUUAAAUUAAGCCCAUGUCAGUACCCCCUGAACGGGCUUUGAAUAGGGUUACACCAUAACUAAAGAUAGGUAAGUAAUGGCCAAUCAAAUAAAAAAUUAAUAAUUAAAUAAAUUUUAAUAUUUAUUUUGUGGCUAUCAAAGAUAAAUAUAGGAGGGUUUACAAUAACUUAUAUAUUAUGAUCGAUCAAUUAAUCUAAAUGUUUUAUUGUGUUUAUAUGUAUAUGAAAACACACAUUAACAGAGAAGUUAACCAAAUAAUAAAAAUAGAGAAGUGGUUAAAAAAUAAUAUUAUAUAAAAUCAAUAAUGAAAAAUUGUGAUAUAGAUAUAUGUUGUCUAUAAUGUUUUUUUUUUCUUUUAGGCGUGUAAAGAUUUUUAAGGUGUAAAUUAAAUUAGAUGAUAGAUGAUAACAUGUGAACAAACUAAAAAAAAAAUAUGAAAUAAAAAAUUAUGAUGCAUUUUCUUUAGAUUUAUUAAAAUAAUAUUAUUCAAUUAAGAUAAUAAAUCAUAUUAUUUUAAUAAAAUUAUGUGCUUAUUUUUUAUAUAAUAUAUAUUUAUAUUUAUAUAUAAGAAGUGAUUCUAUCGUACUCAUAAAAUGUUAUGAGCCGCCUUAGUAUAAGCACAUCUUAUUUGAGCUCUUUUCUUUUUAAGUGUUAUUUGAGCUCUUCUAUUCAACUAAUUUAGUCACUUGCGAAGAAAGGCGUGGACACAACUUAAUUAUUAAUUAUAAUAAUAAUUGUUGUGAUGUAUUUUUAUUAUACUCGUCACCUUUUUUGGCAUUAUUUUUAAUUCCAUCUAUUAACUUUAUGAAACUUUUAUUAGUAAAUUUUUUUUAAAAAAAUUCAUUUAUGAAAAAGAAAACAAAGGCAAAAGAAAAUUAUAUAGUUUGAUUAGUUUAAUCAAAUUGAGGGUUUAAGUUGAAGUAGAUUGCUUGGAUCCUCAUAGCUCACAGCCUCUUCACCUAUAAAAUACCAAGUGUGUACUUAUUAAUGCCACAAAAAACAAACAAAAUCAAAAUCUAAUAUCAAUUAUUUAAUAAAAUUGCAAGAAAAAUGUAUUACAGGUGAAGAAUGUAUUACUUACAUGGAAAGAAUAUACUGUAUGUAAUAUAUUAAUUAACAUAUAAUUAAAAAGGUUAAAAAGCAUUAAAAAAAGUUGCAUAUAUACCGAAGUUUGUUCUUGGAAUAUUGGUUACCCUGGGGAUCCAUCGAAAAAUAAAGUCAUGUAAGAUAGUACUAUAAAGAUAUUUAUGUUGUGAUUUGUAAUGCGCGAGAAUGCUAGUUGAUUUAUCUUUCGUUUGGUAGAGGAGUUUUAAUUUAGAGUAGAAAUAGAAGGGGAGAAUAAAUUUAAAAAAAUUAGUGAGUUUCACUCUCACACCUUAAACACACUAUUUUAAUUUAAAUGUUUUUUUUUUAUCAAAGUUAUUUUUAUCUUCUCUACCAGACAUAACAUUAAAGAUUAUAAGAUAAUCCUACAAAGAACUCACUACAUAUGUUAAGUGAAGUGGUAAAGAAGGAAGAGAAAAAAUAGAAUGAAGAUAAAAUAUGGAAGGAAAAAGUGAUUAUAUAAUAAUAAUAAUAAUAAAAGAUAAAAGGUGAGUAGGGUGUACGUGUGUCUGUGUGUGAGUGUAAGAUAUUGAAGAAGAGAAUAUUGCUGGGUGUGAUUUUGCCCACGUUGCCCAUGCAAGCCAUGGAUUGGAGGGGCACUUACCAGUGCAAAUAUUCCCUCUGAUUUGGAUUUCCUGGUCUAGGUGCAUCAGAAUCCACCAUUCCCUCUGAGUUGGUGGAGAUGAACUCAGGACCUUCUACACCCUAAUAAAAGUCAUGAGAGUUCAUCUCCACCAACUUCAUUAUAGACCAGGGUGCAAAAGGUCGUGAGAUUAUCUCCCCCAACUUCAACCCUUUUAUAUACCAGGGUUUGAGCAGUUGAUAACUUGGGAGCAAUUGUUAAAGACGAUAUCCUCAGAGAGACGCAACCUGUGAAAGGCUCCUAUUACACGUCCAAUCACAAGAGGAUCCAUUGAUCAGCUAGCUCUAUCACCUUGAUAUAUUAUUAAUUUGUUCCUUCAGUACAUAAUGAGGAGAAUGCCUGCAGGCUAUGCCUAUUUAUGCAUGAUAGCUCUUGCGUACGUUUGCUGAGAGAUAUUGCACUAUCACUAGAUUCUCUUCUCCUUAGAUAUAUUUUUAUAUCUGUUAAAAGUGAGACCAAGAAAAAGAAAGGCCGUUCCAUAUAUAUAUGUGAGGGAAAAAAUCCCUUAGAUAGUUGCAUAGAUGUUAUCUGAAACUUCCUUUUUAUCGGUACCACAUACUUUAAGUGGUGGUCGUAAGACACGCACCUUUACACUUGUGAUGCAAGUUAUUUUGUAUAUAUUUCAAAAGUUUUAAGGGAAUUAUAUAUAUAUAUAUAUAUAUAUAUAUAUAUAUAUAUAUAUAUAUAUAUAUAUAUAUAUAUAUUAUCCAAGGAAAACUAAUAAAAAUUAUUUUACUGAUAAAAAAGUUAAUUUUAUUUUGAUAUUUUGACUUGAUAUGAUCUCCCACAAAUUCUGCAAUCAUUUUUAAUUUGGUGAUAGUUUUUUUAUUAAGUCUUAUUCCACCCAUUUAUUUGGUUAAACCUUAUGUAUGUAUUAUAAAUAAACCAUUACUUUUCAUUGAUACACUUCUUCCCUCCCUCAUCUCAAUUAGUAUCCGGUACUUUUUCUUUUCUUUUACUUCUGCUAGCUUUAUAUAUACGUUGACAAAUUUUAUUCCAUAUUAUUAUGUCGUUUAUUUUAAAAAAUGUGACCUUAACCAAUAAUAGUGGACAUAAAUAAUAAUUUGUAUCCUUUAAUUAAGUAAUUUAGAGUUUUUAAUGAAGAUUUGUCAAUACUAAUAAUUGUGUACCAAUAUCAUGAUAAAAAAAUAUAAAAUUAUUUUUAAAAUUAAAUAAACAACAUUAUUAAAUUUAUUAAGAAUGUAUUUAGCAAUUUAUUGAUGGUGUGUAUAUAUAUAUAGAUGCGUGGGUGUGACUUUACAUGUACUUUUCAUUUGUUUUAGUCCGUGUAUACUUUCAACUCCGUUUUAAUUCCUUCCGUUAAAAAAAUUUAACGUCAUUAAUGAGCAAUGGUGUGUUGUGUUUUACAUUAGUCCCUAUAUUUUUACUAUCUUCACAUAUUGAUAUUUAUAUAUAGUUACACAAAUUUUACCUAGCUUUUAAGUUUUAUAUUUAAGAUUAUUUAUUUUAGUUCCUAUAUAACCACUUUCAAUUCAGUUUUAGUCAUUGGUGUUAAAAGAAAAACUUAAUGUCGUUAACAAAUGCAACAUUAAAGUUUUAGCCCUUAUGCAAACAAUUUUUAUAUAGGUGAUCGUGGGUCAUAUUGUAUCAAAUUUGAAUAAAUCUGUGAUCCAAGUCAAUCAAAAUAUUAUGAGUUGAAUUGUAUCACCUUUGAGUCAUUUUUUAAAACGCAACCUAAAUCAACCUAAUGGUAUGAUAUUUAAAAAAAGUAAACAAUGCAUAGGUUUAGGUCCACAUUCUAUUACACCUAAUAUAUUAUUUAAUUAAUUUGCAACAACUUGUGUUGCAUGAGCUUUCAUCAUAUCUUCAAAAUGAUUUUUAACUUUGCUUUUUGGAUCUCAACUUACUCUAAGAUUAGCAUGAUUGUGGUUGUGAUGACCACAACUGUGCUCAAUUAUUUGAAAUUCAUGUUUUUCAUCAAUAUCAUUUUUGUCUCGAUUGUGGUGAUUUUACCACAGUUGUGAAGGUUAGUAUGACUAUGCUAUAUCCAGCAUAGUUGGGCUCUUCAAGACUUGUUCAAUUCUUCAAAUCAUUUCUUUUUAAGCUCUUUUCAUGUUUAUUCUCUUAGGGGCCAUCUUGCUACACACUUGGCACAAAAACGUGACUUUUGCCGAAAUAAUUUACAUAAAAUAAAUCAUUUCAGGUCCAAAACUCAUGUUUCAUUAUACAUACAAAAUGUGGUUUAUCAAAUACAUAGUUCAAACAUGCUUCUUGGAUAAGGUAAAGUAGUUUGCGAGUAGUGAUUUGUGUUGGCACUAUUUGUAGUGGCGGGAACUUGAUGCAUCGCUAUAAUCUUGCUCCAUAAAAUGCAAGAAAACUUUUUGCAUUGUUUCAAAUGCUUAGGUAUUUGUUCCAUGUAACUUCCUUAACUUUAUACACGAGGAAUAUUUGUUAAGUGAGGCUAACUUUAAAGAUGUAAGCAUGGCGAGUCUCAGUCUAGUCAAAUUCUUGUUAAUUAUAUUGGCUCAUAAGUAAGCAAAAGGCAUAAUAGAUUCUUGCUCUUCUUAGCCUUGCAAAUGAGGUGGUUGAUAGAUUCUUGUCCUUGUGGUAUGGUUAACAUAAACUUCUAACUUUGAGAUUAUAGCUCUAGGACAAGUGGAGGUUCUUCUUUCUCCUCUGGGGUUAAGUCCAAUAUUAAUGUGUGUUUUCUACACUGUCAUUGAAUCGAAAUUGGCGGUGUAAAAUCAACAAUUUUUUCUAAUAGUUGUUAAACGUACUGUUAGAAAUUUGAAAAUGAGAAUGCUUCUGCUAUACAUAAUUAUUUAUUUAGUAAUAAAUAAAUAAUUUUUUGUUAUCAAAUAUCAUAAUUAUUUACCAAUUUUAAUAAAAAAAAAACUCAUAAUGAAGUUGAAGCAAUAGAAAAUUAUUUCUACCUCUCGGAAAAUUAAUUGUGAAUGUAUUUUGUCUAAUUUAACUUCAUACUUAAAAGCUUAUGCACAUUGUAUUAUGUAAAUGAUGGUUUCGUAUAAAUAUAUGUGCAUCAAAAUAACCAGUUAUAUUGGUUACUUAAAAUGCAUGCGAGGUCGAUGCAUCACUUUUCUCGGAUCAAAACACUUUUGGUUUGGCUACGGGGAAUUUGAUCAAUAUAGGUUAUUCUUUUAAGCUAAAUAUCACUUUGGGUGAUUUUUACGCAAUAUAUCAGAUUUAAUGAUUCUUGUCUCAUAAGAAAUUGGUGAUAUCAGUCAACUCAAUUCCAUUCGGUGGUGUGUCACUUCGACACCUUUCUAAGUGACACCACCAGAUAGAGCUGAAAUCAUUCCACUUGAUAAAAUGUUUAAAAACCUUCCUAAAGUAAUAUUUAGUUUUAAAAAAAAUCUUAUAUUGAUCAAAUUCCCUUGGCUAUGUGUAUUUGUAGCAACACAGCCAAGACUAUUUGGAAGACCGCACAUCCACCACUUUUGGAGGCAGAAGCAACGAUACUUUUAGAAGUUAUUUUGUGGAUCAUUAAUAUGAAUUAACUUGAUUGCAAAUAUAUUGUUAAUAGCUAGCUUGGAUAGCAACGUUCCGGUCCAGACUCUGAACGUGGAUCUCUUAUUCGCAAAUGCAGAAGUUAUAUUCAGUAUCAUGAACUCACACAACUAGCUAGACAAGGGAAUAUUUUAGGCAUGAAAAGAAGGAUAAAGGGAAUAUUUUAUUUUGGCCAGAACAAUUUAAAACUUUGGAAUCCAUAUCAAACCAACUUUCGUUUGUUGGUUUUCUUAGGCCAGGAUCGCUUCUUAUGGUUGCUUGGACAGCAAAUAAUUUUAAAAUAAAAUGCCAUAUAGCUUUUUCAACUUUAAUCCAGAUCAAAUUGGAAUUUAUCUCCUCUAAAAUAAGAAUCGAAGAUAAUUCGAAAAAGAAUGAUAUAUUCUAUAAAUGAUCAUGUGAGUUAAUUCAGUGUUUGGUGGUAUAGUAUGAGUAUUUGUAUAGGUCUUUUUCCUCCUAAGGACUUGGGCGUGAACACUGAACCCAGUGAUUUGGAACAUCACUUCUGUACCAACUGUAAAGCGAUCCAUAUUUCGUUUAUCCUUUGCGCUGGACAAAACCGCGUUAAAAAGUAUGCCUAGGGUGCGACUUAUCUUAUCCAUGCAUGUAUAUCUCACUUUCUCGUCCAUACUUAUCUUUUAAAAGGUGCUCUGAGACAGAACUUCCCAUGCCAACAAUGCCUUCAAAUUUGAUCCCAACUAGCAAAUUAAUCUUAAAUAUUAUUGCAUUUUCAGACGUUUCAGUUAUGAUUUAUUAUAAAUUAUGAUUUCAAUGCUAUAUUAAAUUAAUAUUUAAAUUUUUAAAACAUUAAAUUUAAUGAUAGAAGACCACAUCAAAAUAUUACAAACCCACCGUAUAAGACUUUUGAGAUAAAUCACCAAACAACUUUAGCGGAGAUUCUAGUUUGGACAGGUGUACGGAUAAAAAUAUAUAGAAUCUUAUGGAGGAAAGAAAAUUAUAGAGUUUUAUUUUGAGAAUUUUCAGAGAAAAUUUCGCAAUUUGAAAGGACCAGACCGUAGGACUAGCUGACAAGCUAGUUAAACUUAAUUAUACUUUGAGGAAUAAAUCAAUAAUUGUUGAUAUAAGAUAUAAGUUGAAGUAGUUUAUAUUUAUUAAUUAAGUGAUUUAGAAUUUAAAUUUUGAUUAAUUUUUAAGUUUAUAUAAAUCGUAUCAAGGAGAAGAGAGGAAUAUUUAUUUUAUAUGCACUCAUGAUUUCUUAAAAAGUUAAUUAUUACUCUUAGUAUGAACUACUUUGUAUUAAUAUUUUAUUAAAAAAAUACAGUAAAUAAUAGUCAAAUCAUCGAUAAUGUCUAAUAUAUUGUAUGCACGACAUAUUAUAUAAAAAAGUAUUAACAUAAUCAAGAAAAAAAUUAAUUAAUUUUAAAAUAAUAGCCAACGAAAACAAGUUUUGUUUGUGUAUGUAUUUCCAAGUAUAGAGCGGAGACAAGUAUUAACUUGACUUAAU
rnacentral:lncRNA from 1 species